UCUUCCGAUCGUGGGAUCACCAUGGACCUUGUUUACCCUCCAAGGCUCCAAUCGCCGAUGUAGCCUUCUCCCGGUCGUUCUCUCUACCUCCGCAGGCCCUAUGCGUGAGCACUUUCCCUUCUCCGGCCACUUUCGGGAGCGCUCGCCGGCCGUCAUCUCCUGCCCUCCGUCGGUCCGUACGAGUUCAGUGGCCCUCCGCCGGCCACAUGCGGCCCUGGAGUUCUGCAGCCACGUUUGAGAGCGCUGGAAGCUGGCUUUGAUCCCCAAUCUAUUUCACACAUAAUACUAAUCAAUUCAUGCCUCACUUUUAGUGGAGGAAAAUCCACGGAUUUCUGCAACCAAUCUGCAAUUUCAAUACGUACACCAAUAUAAAAUCGUCAAAAAGGAAAAUAUUUGAUGUACAUUCACAUUGGUUCAAUUGUUUUCUGUACAAUCGCAUUGAUUCGGCUACAACAAAACAACAAGGAUGUAUCUGUGCGUUGCAUCCAGAAUUGAUUCAGACAUCAAACAACCAAGGGUUGAUUCAGUUAUUGAACUACCGUACAGCAGCACAAUAGCUCUAGCUUCAGGAAAAAAAAACACAGCAAAAACAGCAGCAGACAUCAGGUUUUGCGCCAGCUUCGUGGUCGUCUGGGGGCACCGGACUGCUGCGCGGGAGCCUCGUUGUGGCCGUCAUGUCGCUGGGGGCCAGCGCCGCCGUAGGGCAAGCAAACCACCGGGACGCCGUGGCAUGGAGGCCCUGCCUGGCACUGCUCUCUCUCUCCGGCGCAUGGUGCAGCGCUAGCCGGCGUCGCAAUCGCUUGGGGAUGGGGGGGGGCACUACUACAGAAACGGUCAUUAGUAACGGUCAAAAAAGUGCAUCACUAACGGGCGCCCCGCCCGUCACUAACUUCCCGUUACUCAUCAUCAGUAACGGUCGUUUCAACCAUUACUGAUGAUGCCAUCAUCAGUGGCGGGUGCAGCACCCGUUACUGAAGGAGGCACUCCAUCAGUGGCGGUCACUGUAGGGACGCCCGACAGUGAUGAUUUUUUCGUCAUUUAAAAAAAAAGCUGGCCACAGGCCAGCAAAUCACAAAUCGGUAAUUUACAUCAAAUCAGAUGAAUUAACAUAUCACAAAUCGCAAAUCGGUAAUUUAUAUCAAAUCACAAAUUGAUACAUGAAUUCCAUACAACGAAUCGCAAAAAAAGAUCACAAAAGGAGCGCCGUGAGGAAGUCGAUGGCCGGCCCUCGUCAGCGCUACGACGGGAGUGAUGGCAGCGCCGGCCUCGUCUCCAUGUCUACGGCGAUCUGGUCCACUGUGUGUGUGAGAGAGAGAGGGAGAGAGGAAGAGCAAACUGAGAGAGGGAGAGGGGAUGUACCAGCGUCUGUAGGGUUGAGGAGGAUGGAUCCGGCGGCGGCGGCGGCUUCGAUGGAGGCUGGAUCCGGCAUCGACGCCGGCCAGCCAUGGCAGAGAUGGCGGCUGUCCAUUGGUUCUGGAGGCGGCACGGGGGUGAGUGAGAGAAGGGAGAGGGGGGGGGUCGGGGGUGAGAUGGGAUCGGGAAUAGAAGGAGGGGGGGGGGGGGGAGAGAGACAUACCGGCGGGGGUCGUCGGAUCCGGCGACGAGCUCACGGGAUCUGGCACCGAUGGUGGCCGGGGGCGGGCGUCCAUUGACCUGCAGUAGGACAAAGACGAGAGCGUGAGAGAGAGAGGUUGAAGGGAGGGGAAGGGAGGGGAGGAGAUGGCAGAGGCUGGCCGGAGACGGCAGUCGGCGGCAGCGUUGGAGAGAGAGAGUGCUGGGGAGACAGAGAGUGGAGAAGGAGGGAGUAGCGGUGGGAGGGAGAGAGGAGGGAGUUAGGGGAGAGGCGGUGGCUGGGAGGAAGAGAGGAGGGAGUUAGGAGAGCCUAGGGGAGGUUAGGUUUAGGAGCUUUUUAUAUGCGGUGGGGUUGGUUGGGCCUCAAUUGGGUUGUCCGGCGGCCCAUACCAACAUUAGUGUCGGGUCUACCUAUAAAACACGUCACUAAUGGCCUCAAAUAUAAUUUUUUUAUUUCAAAAAUGGAAAAACAUAUUUUGAACCUAACAAUUGUAAGGAUUUUUGUUAAUAUUGUUUUCAUGGAAAUACGCAUCUUUGUGCAAAAUAUGGAGACAUUACCAUGAACUGUGGCAUAGAAAUGGACACACUUUGGUCAUUUGGCUUAAAUAAAACAUAAAGUUCAACUUUGGGAAAUAAAAGAUAUAAUCAAGAAUACUUUUUUCAAUACAUUUCUUUGGCAACACUUUUUGGCAUGGUAAUAUACACCUAUGUGCAAAAAAUGGAUACAUUAUCAUGAAUUAGGACAUGGAAAUGGACAAAACUUUGAUCAUUUGGCUUAAAUCAUACACUCAACUGUGGGAAAUUACAAAAUUGUACUACACAAGUCAUUUUUCAAAUGUUAACAUAUGAUAUUAUUAUACCAUCAUGUUAAUCAAGAAAAACUAAGACUAUAGCAAAAGGAAUCACAUUUUUCUGAUUUUUUAUGAUUUUUUCAAUUUUCAAAUGUCUUCAGGGCUCAUCGGUGGUGGGCCUAGAUAUUGAGCCCGCCACUGAUGUGUGCUUUUCUGAAUUUUGUUAUUUUUCGCAUUGAACCAUUAGUGACGGGCCUUCCGGCCCCGUGACUGAUGAUUGGUUGCUUCAUCAGUGACGGGCUUACCACAUGCGUCACUGAAGAGGCAGUAGUGUUUUUGUCAGUGACGGGCAAUCCCUCCGUUGCACUAAAACAGAGGAAAGUAUUUAGCAACGGAGGCAGUAGUGUUUUGGUCGGUCGGUCAGUCAGUCAGACGACUCUCGCUAGAUACAUCGAUCUGGUCCACAACGCACACGCGUCGUUACAUGCUAGCUGUUCCAUCCAGCUCAUCGAAUAUUACUGCUAAUUAAUUGCUUAAUUAAGGUCUGAAGAGGGUUAAUUAGCGAAUAGUGGUAGCACUCGAUCGGUGAUUGAUUAGGGGACGGUGGUCAGUAUACUCCUAAUGAUAGCAGCAGCACGUGCCGUACGUGCAGGCUAGGUGCAGCAGCUAGCAGAAGCCAUAGAUAUGCCAAGAUAUGAAUGAACCUGCAGGCCUAGCUUUGACUCCAAAUUUGAGUGCAAAUGAUUGAGAUAACCAAGGUAAUGUGACUAAUUAACUACACAUCAUCAUGUGGUUGUUGGUUGAUUCGUUAGUCUUGUCGUGUCAUGGUUUAUUCGGCUAUAUAUUCGUAAGUCUGGCCUGGUCUCUCUCACUCUCUCUGUGUGUGUUCAGUUAACUGCUAGCUGCAUGCACCCCUAAAUUGUUCAAAUUAACUGGCGAUCGAUGCACUAGAAUUAUUUGCAGAAAAGCUAGUGUAUACAUAUUAUACGACGCUUCCUCCGUUUUUAAAUAAUUGUCGAUGUUUUAGUGGGAACAGGAGCAGCAGCAACUCUAUACUGCAGCUAAUAAUAAUUCCCAUGCAUGUAGCAUGGCAUAUAUGCAUGCGUACGUGCGCUGUCGUGUCAUGCAGUUGAGCAGCAGCAAUUAAUUCCUUGAGCUACAGCAGCUAAUUAAGCCUGUAUUACGUGCCCCUCCAUCCGUCUCCAGGCUGUAUAUAUGUGCAUAUAUGCCUGUCGAUCGACCGCCCAGGCUGAUUAAUUAGCUGCUGAUCGCUCGAUAGAUAGACAGUCUGCAACUCUUCCUUCCACUUGCAUGAAUUGGCUCAAAGACCUGCCCAAUGGCUUCUAUUUAUUCUAUCCCUACGGAGUACUACCGAGUAUAUAUAAUCCAGUUGGCGCUGCCGCGGCAGCCGAAACUAGUACUGUUUUCGCUGCCGCGGCAGAAAUUAGUGGUGAGUACGUGAUUGCUGCUUGUUUAUGCCAAUCCGAUCCGUGAGGUCCGUCAUACAUGUCCCCUGGCUUCCUAGCUACCCUGCCCGGCUGCCCUACAUGCGUGCCUCUAGUCAACUAGCUUGGCUAGGCUUAGGAGAGCUAGGUAGCUAGCUUGUCACGCCCAUGUAUAUCUGUACUCUCUGCUCUGCUCUGCUUGGACAAUCUGUACUGUACUCUGUACGUCUGCUGUCCUAGCUUGCUCCAUGAAUAUUUUCAGGGAAUUGCUUGCUGCCGGGUAUUUGAAGAUCUUUUCAGGGAAUUGCUUGCUGCCGGGUAUUUGAAGAUCUAGUGGAAAAAGAAAUCAGGCAGUCUGCUGCACGUGGAUUGUUACUUAAUUACUAGUGUUCCUAGGCUGUUGUCGUUAGAUCUCUCGGACGCAUUUGGUCCGAAAUCACGCAUCGUUUUGGUGAGUCCUUGGGAAAAAAUAGUGCAGGUUAAUUUUCAGGCAAUCUUUGAGACGAGCACAGAGUCGCUGCCUGUUCUACGUCGCCUAGGGUCGCGUUCAAUAUGGAAGACUAUACUUCAAUCCCCUCUGCAUCGAUCCACCUGCAGUACAGCUCUCUGAAUAUGUAUAUUUAUAUUGGGCAGAUUAAUUGGAUGAUGAGCUAUUAGCACAUGGUUCAGUACGGAAUUUUCUUUCAGUCAUUUUAUUUUGCCAUCAAUAUAUAGCUGCCCCCAGCUAUUUAUACAUUGCUUAGCAGCCACAUAACCUAUACCUUGAUAGCGAGUUCCGAAAAAUAAAAUAAAAUAGUACCUUGAUAGCAGGGACACAUGUACCACAUUGCUUGCUUACAGCAGCCACAGAUCGACACGUACAGAAACCAAAUGAAACAUUGCACUCGAGCCUCGAUACUAAUAGAAUCAAUCUCCUCAUAUCGAGGGUUACCCUUUGUGCGGCUCCAUGGAAACUUCCCGUCCUCCAAAGCCAACAUGCAUAUGCAAAUGGCAACUUGCAAUCUAACAUGAACAAAUAACAAUGCAGCGAUAUACUAGCUGCAGAAACAUACAGUAGAUCAGAUGUUCGCGAAAAAAUAGUUAUUUUCAGAUCGAUCAAUUGGGCUAGCCCAAGAUGGCUCCUUGAGAAAAGCAAGGGGUAUAUAUGAGCACACUAAUUAAUAUGUUUUAUAUGCACACUAAUUAAUUAAUUUGAUUAUAAGAAAGUGAUCAUGCUGCAUGAUCGAGCAUGGCACAGGUGUGGCGCUGUCUCCUUUGAUUUUCCUAAUGCUAUUUAUCAUCCAUGUUCGUAUAAGAUUUGAUUGAUGUGCCCUUCAAUCAAAAAAUAAAAUAAAUGAUGUGAUCAUCUCCUUUUUAUGGUAAGGGAUCUUGUUUUUAGCUGGAACUGAUCGUCGAUCCCUUCUCCAUACAGCGUUGCUCGCCAGCGAAAGAGAGAUAAUAAAGUUUGAAGAUCGAUUCAACGCCCCCCCUGAUCCGUUAGAUGGGGAGAAAGAUAAUGUUAACUUGAUCAAGAUGAGAUCCCAACGACCCAGGGUGAAUUAUUCAGAUUUCCUCUGUCAUCCCCGUCAUCAGUACAAUUGCAUUUGCUUUAUACAUAUAUAAUGGGCGAAAUAAUCAAAAAGAAAGAAAACCUUCAGACAGAGAAAUUAUCUGAGAGAAUAGUACCCUUGGUAGUAGGAAAGUUCCUACUGAAAGAGCUAGCUCAUUUAAUCAAUGGAGUCCUGUCCUAGCUAGCUACCUGCCUCUUGCGUAGUCCUUCUGCAUGCAUGCUGCCAUGAGAGUAAAUGGCCGGCGAACUAAAAGGUCUUCCAGCCGUGCAUAUAUGUCUCCUGCUAGCUGCAGCUGCAGUGCAAGGACUAUGGCGUUCGAUCUCUCCUCUUAAUUGGGUUUUGGCUGCCUUGUGUUUGGACUCAGUUGCCAUGCAAAUCUUGGCCAGAACCUUUAAAUGUACCUAGCUUCAUGCCUGAAAAUUAUUUAUGGGAAGAACAGCAUGCACAUUCAGUCCUGGGCGUAUAUAUAGAGAGAGGCCCUUUUGGUUUUGCUAAAAAGAGACAAAAGACUCGAAGAAGGUUUGGUAGUAGUAUGUUUUUGAAUUUGGAGAAAACUGAAUUGAUUAUUUAGACAUUCUAAAGCAAAGCACCUCAUGUUACUGUGACUUUGAGACAUGGUCAGUUGGUCGUUUUGUUUUGGUAUGACAGUACCAAUCAUUUAUCCGCAAAAAAAAUGACAGUGUCAACCAUAUACUUUUGCCAGGCAUCUUGUUGCAUCGAUCAGCAGACAUGAUAAGUAAGUCUAAUCUAGUAGGAGGGCUAGGAGGGAAAAUAAUAUGAAAGAAAUGGUAGACCCCACCUGUCAGCAUGAGAAAAGGUGUCUUGUCUGUACUGAACAAUUUGGAGCCUCAAUUAAGUUGAUAAGGCUCUCAGUCUAUCAGUCUGUUUGCCGUCUCUUGACCUGAGGAGUAUAAAAUUUACAAACGGAAGAUUCUUUUUCAUGGAGAGAAAAUGAUUUCAGAUAUAUUUUUUGCUGUUAUUUUUCACUUCGCCUUUCUUUCCUGCCAUAUUGACUGACUGAACAAAUAUUGCUUCCUUCCGCUGAAACUUUAUUUUCAACUUGAAUAACUGAGAUGAGAACCAAUUUCCGCAUGAAAUUCUUUCACAUGCCUUGUCGGGAUUUCGAGUUAGAAAAACCAAGCGACCGUUCUUUUCUAGAGUAUGCAGAGGACCAUUUAUUUACUUUUGAAAAAUCAUAUUUAAACAAUUUCUGCCGGUAUUCAUUCACCAGCUGACUCGAAUUUCUGUUGGCACCGAAAAUUCGAGCUGUACCAAACAAUGAUAAUUGAGGAGAGGGGAAUAUUCUCUGUCGAGGUGCUGGCCUACAGGAUGCAAUGAUAAUAAUCAGAAAUUAGCAAAUUUCACCACAGUACAGCACAUUUAGGUCGGCAGGCAGAACGCAGAAGCAUAUAUUUCUCAUCCACUCAAUCAUUGAAUUAUUUAUAUAUCUUGUCGUUGGUAGGGUACUAUAUGACUGGUACUUCAAAUAUGCAGCAGUACUGGCAGGGUACCUUUGAAUGAAUGAAUGUGCAAGGUGGCAAAGGAGGCCCGGGGCCCCACUCCCUGUGGGUGACUCACUGACAUGCCUUUCACUUCUUCUUGCCUCAGUCACUGCUAUGCUAUGGUCCUCGACCCUUCAAAUUUUAAAACUUUGGAGCCACUCAAGCAAAAAGCCCAAUCAUUGGUGCCAUGAACGAAUCGAAAACUCGAUUGGUUUUGUGACCAAUUUUGCAACGACCAGAUUUUAAUUUUUCCAUCUGAUCGAAAUUAUUCACUACUUGUAUCACACUGUUCAAAAUAAUCACUUGUAUCAUUUUUUUUGCAACUCUACAUUUUACUAUAUCAAAAUAAAUGCAUGUUCUAGAUUCUUUUUAUGACUUAUUAGAGCAAAUACAGAUAAGAGAAAAAAUAUAAUGCUUUUACAACGAGGAGAGAAAAUGUAAGAUGCAAGCAGCACAUUUUUACUCUUAAAUUAGCCCACAGCACAUAGAGCUGACCCAGUUUGUAUGUCCUGUCCUGUGACCCAAUAGCUGUCCUUUGGUAGAGGGACCAUAUGAAAUUUACUUCAGCCACUGAUGGUUUGACACUCAACUCCAGCACAUCUAUUUCACAAUGUACUUUCAGUGGCAUGUUUAUCUUCAAUUCUGAUCGCCACCAUAAUUUUGCGCACAUGAUAGAAAAAAAAGGCUGCCUAGAUUUUCUUUUUUGAGAUUGAGUUGUUGUCUUGUGCAAGUACUAUUUGAACCAGCUGUUUCUGGUUCAUGGAAAUAUUGUCUAUCCAAGGUCCAUGCAGGAAUGUGGUCCUCAAGAUGUCUCAUUUUGACUUGAAAUAUUCCUUUACAAUGGUUUAGUUGCUAAACUUGGGUUAUUUAGACUGUAAGUGGCAAUUUAAUUAGUUUGCGAGGAUACAUACAUCACAAUUAAUUCAUUUCUUUGAACUUGCUGAUCGAGUUUUGUUCAAAAUUUAAAUAUUGUAAUACACAAAAAAAUGCCUGAGCUGCUUUUAUUUUUGUGGGUAUCUCAGAAGAAAAAAAAUCGGAAACGCAGCUGAUGCUAAAGUAACUGAAUGCACAGAUGUCACUCGAAAGAGAGACAUGGUAAGUCGGUUUUUGGCAUCUAUAUGUCUUGUAAAAGUAAUAAUAAAUCUUAUUUAUUUUUCUGAAAAAAAAUCCUGUAUAUACAUGCACCUACAUACUUCCUCUUCCAGUCUUUGGCGUGCGUUUCUUUCCUCUUCCUUGAGAGUCCAGAGUCCUCAAGACCUACCAACCCAACCCAGGGGCGGGGCGGCCUAUAAAUUUCUCCUCUAGUCCGCCACCGUGUGCCCUACAGCCCUCCUCUCCCUCUCCCUUCCCCCGCAGCGUCGCCGCCGUCCCUGUUCCGUCCGAAGUCGCCGGCUUUGGCCAUUGGAGGUUUCUGAGGUACGAGGCUGUUUUAAUUCAUCCAGUGAAGUUAAAUCCCCGCCGGCGGCCGACCUUCACAAUUUCUUCUUCCGUCCUGCGCCGUCGGCCGCCGGAGUAGAACGCAAGACUAGUUCCGUUACUGGUUUCCAAUUGGGGACCGUGGAAUGAGCAGCCGGCCGUUAUUGCUGUUGCAUGCUGGGGCUGCUGCUGGAUGAAUGGCGGUUUUGGGGGGGAGAAAUUCAGGAGGGAAUAAUAAGAAGUCGGCUUCUUGCCUUGGUUGAAAUCCUUUUUUCGAAUCAAUUUUUGUUUACCAAAACUAGUGGGGGUGUACAGAUGUACACACCCUUGUACCGCUGUAGCUCCGCCGUGCACCUUGUUUCAGCUUGAAGGUCAUUACGAUUGUGAGUUCUCAUAUGCUACUCUGUUUUCUUUUACAGAUAGUAAAUUUCCAAGGUUAUUUGCCAUGGAGGCCAAUGGUCAUCACAAACCAAGAAGAGAAUUCAUUGGCCGAGAGUGCAAUGGUGUAAAACCACCCAAUAAUUUUGGUGAAGUUGAUCCAUGGACAGCAUGGGCAUACAGACCACGGACCAUCUCAUUGUUACUGAUGGGAACCUGCUUCUUAAUGUGAGCUGGAUAUCUUUUACAUGUGGAUUUUUCUUUUUAGUUUGUUAUGGACUUCUUAUAAUGAUGGUGUUAAUUAGUGCAUUCCUGAUGAGUGACCUACUGAGGAAUCUUUGCAUUCUUAAGAUUACUACAAAAAGAGUACUUAAAAAGCUGCUGAUGUUUAAUGGAUAAUUGUGUUUAUAUUCUUUAUCAGUUGGGCAAGUGGUGCUCUAAAUCCAGAAGGAAGCUUCUCUGCUGAUCGUGUCUCAUCUGUAAAAAGGUUUUUUUUUUACUUAUUUUAGGAGAAAAGUUUUUUUUUUCUAAUGCACUUAUCAAUCAAACAUCUGUUAGAAGAUAUCCUCAAUAGGGGUAACAAUCUGCAGGGAUUCACAUUCUUCCAUUGUCUGCUUUUGCAUCCCUGUUAAACACUACUUCUUCACCAUUAUUUUUCUCGCCUUUUAUCUGCUCGUUCUCAAUUUAAUUAAGAAAGAUUUGUGUACUUAUAUUAUUUUUCUCUUGUCAACAGGGGUGUCUUUGCGAUGAUUGCUGUUUUUUUGGCUUACUCUUUUCUUCAGGCACCUUCAACGUGAGUUGCAGAAACUCUGUAUCCCAUUCCCAAUAUCUAACUCUGAUUUAUUACAUUACAUUUUUAUGAGUGAAGUAAUGAACCACAUUUGCUCUGGAGACUAUUUUCCUCCUUGACAAACAUUGCUUAUUGCAGCCAUCUCCUUAAAUUUUAUUUCAGAUGUUACUGGGUUUUAUGCAAAUAUUUACUGACAUUUACUUCCAAUAUAAUUCAGUGUGCUCAUCAGACCACAUCCGGCAAUUUGGCGGCUGGUCCAUGGGAUGGCAGUUGUUUACCUUGUAGCUCUUACUUUUUUGCUUUUUCAGGUAGCUACAUUUUCUUUUCUAAUCUUGUUCGAAAAAUGUGUAUAACUGUUAGAUUCUUGGAUUCACGAAACUGUCAAAAGCAUUGCUAAUUAAUGGUGCAUAAGUCUCUCUCUAGUUUCUUGUGUAGUCUAGGAAAUCGCGUUUUACAACUUAAGAUUGCCAAUGCUAAAUGUAAUCACACAACUUGAAGUGAAUAUAGAUUAAUUUCGAAAUGUGAUGAUUAAUAGAGAAACGCGUAAUAGGUAAAAGGUCAGGGUAUCCCCUAUUUUAUCGUCCUGAUAGCUUGUUUAUCCAGUAGGAAACUUCCCAGACAGCAUGAUGCCAUAUUCAGAUGUCAGGAAACAUAGUGGGUUCUUUAAGCACAUCUGAUGUCAAAAGUUGUAUGAGUCCAAAAUUAGUUGUAUAAUGUAGCACUUUAUCUGUAUUUAAGCAACUGUAUCAUUGCUUUAGUAAGAUCUAUUCCAUAUCAUUACUCUUGAGUUUUAUGGGUCAAGUAGGUCAUCCUAAUCAGAUAAACAAUGCUUCAGCAGUCAGCAUUUAGUGGCAAAUGCAAUAAUUGAAAACUCGACCUAUAUUCAGCAUGUUACCUAAUGUUUUUUUACUUAAUUUUGCAGACACGUGAUGAUGCUAGGCAAUUUAUGAAGUAUCUUCACCCUGAUCUUGGUGUUGGUAAGGCAGUUGAUUUUCUGCAGUAGUUGAGCUUUAUGUGGUGGAAGAAAUUCUUAUUUUCGUACCCUUUGUUUGAGCAGAAUUACCUGAAAGAUCUUAUGGAACUGACUGCCGUCUAUAUGUACCUGAUCAUCCAAAAAGCAGGUUUAACAAUGUUUAUGUAUGAUGACUUCAUUCACAAACCUGCUACCUCUUUUUUGUUCAAUUUGGUUUGUCUUAUUUCUCCGAUUGAUCAUGAUAUUGGAGAUCCUUCAAGUUACUGAUUUGAAUAUAGGUUUCUCUAGGAGAUCCUUUUUGACGAGUUUGUUAUUGCCCAUAUCCUUGGAUGGUGGGGAAAGGCUAUAAUGAUACGAAACCAACCACUUUUAUGGGUGUUAUCAAUUGGCUUUGAGUUAAUGGAGGUAUGUACAUUUUCAUCUUAUGUGUUUGGUUUUCUUUUAUCUUCAAUCAAGAUUCCUUACGUAGUGUUGCUGUGAACUGCAGCUCACUUUUCGUCAUAUGUUGCCAAAUUUUAACGAAUGCUGGUGGGAUAGCAUUGUCCUAGACAUAUUAAUCUGCAAUUGGUUUGGUGAGAUUUUUUAUGUGGUUUCAUUGUUUUUUAUCUAUACAAAGUACCUCUUUUGUUUUGAAAUUUGAACUAAAUACUGGUGUUUAGCACAUUAGAAGAUGAACGUUUUGUUCAUUAGCUCUAUUGCUCCAUUUGCAACACAGGGUUUACCUAUAGUGUAAUGCUGAUGUAGUUGCAUCCUCUGAUUUACUGGUGAUUUCAAUUUGUAGUUCGUUCAUCAAUAGAUAAAUGUUAAUCGUGGAAACAACUAACUGCUCCGUUAAUUGGCUGAACUCUUUGGCUUAUUGCAAAGAGGAAAGACCGUUUUCUUUUUCCUUCUAUCAUACAGUAAGGUAUUAAUGAUCCUUGAAUGAUGAGCAAAACUGUGGUACCUUUCUAUGAAAUUGAACAUGAUGAAUUAUAUUUCUAAACGCUAAGGCACUGAUGCAAUUAAAAUGUAGAGAGUUGCCAUAUCUGUCAUCACUUGUAAUGCUUGGUAUACUGUCAUUGUUUUAUUCUUCUUGGCUGCACCAUGUUUCUAUAGAUUAAGCUGUUCACAUUUACCUGCUAGUUUUCACCUCUUCUUGAUGGGACAUUUUUUCUGUGAUUCCUCUAGGUAUCUGGGCUGGAAUGAAGACCGUGAGAUACUUCGAUGGGAGGACAUAUGAAUGGGUUGGCUUGAGUCGACAGCCCAAUAUUAUCAGUAAGGUAUGCUGAUUGGUGUUUAGGAAAAUGAUUUUCCAAAGCUUCUCAUUGGUUGUUUCUUUCUUUUAUCAUUUGCGCCCUUUUAGGGGAGCAAUUUUUCUCUAGUUGUGGGUGAUAUUUUAUCCUACUUUAAUAUCAUGGCAUUGUGUUAAAAUCUAUAAAAUGCGAUAUUUACUGAAAAACCAAAACAAUUCCUUCAAUGAUCUGUCAAUUAAAAGAAUAUUCUUGACUAUUCUAAAUAUGAUUUUGCAACUCUUCCUCACGUGUUGACUUAUUUCACUUUUUGCCUCUCCUUAGGUGAAAAGGACACUGGGUCAGUUUACACCAGCACAAUGGGACAAAGAUGAGUGGUACCCUCUGCUUGGCCCUUGGAGAUUCAUCCAAGUGCUAAGCCUGUGUGUAAUUUUCAUGACCAUUGAACUCAACACAUUCUUUCUUAAAUUCUGCCUUUGGAUUCCUCCCCGGAAUCCCUUGAUUGUAUACCGACUGGUCCUUUGGUGGUUGAUUGCAAUACCAACCAUCCGCGAGUACAAUACAUACUUGCAAGACAGGUAUAAUUCUGAACUCACUAGCUUGACAGUUUGCAUGCUUCAUAUUAUAAUUACCACGGCACAGGAUUAGGAUUAUUUAACUCUAUAUUCUUGUAAGUGUUGCUGCUUUUCCAAGAGAGAUUUUAGUUUUUUUUGACACAUAUGCUGCUUACUGUUAACCGUAUUACUCUUGCCUGUCAGUUCUCAUAGUCAGAAAUACAGGGAGGCAGUCUCGCUAAAAGUAAUAAUUUAUGUAUUUCAGCAAACCUGUUAAAAAGGUGGGGUCUUUCUGUUGGCUUUCGCUGGCUAUAUGCAUUGUAGAGCUUCUGAUCUGCAUAAAGUUCGGGCAUGGUGAGUGCCACUCCAAUUUAUUGGUGCUUGCAAGUAGCAAUUGCCUCAUCUUAAGCAUGCUGACCGUGUCGUUGGCUUUCUUAAACAGGUCUCUUCCCAAAAUCAAUGCCGACGUGGCUGACAGUAUUCUGGACGACGGUGGCCACGUUUCUCACGAUGUUCCUUCUUGUGUGGACAUGGAAACUUUACCGAACAAUGAUAAGGAAAAGGUUGUGAUUGCGACCGCCUGUCCUUUCAUUGGCCCAUUCUUUUCUCACCCAUUCAAUAUUUGCCAUGUAAAUAUUUAUUCAAAUUCUGUACAUGUAACAUUAGCCAUAAGAAAUUCCAUGCCGAUCCACCAAGCAAAAUAAAGCUUCCCCCCUUCCCUUCCAGUGAUGUACCCUGUCUGUCAAUCAAACUCUGAAACUCCUCCCUUCUAGAAACCUACUCCAAUUCAUGAAAAAGCAAUGAGAUAAGGUUUAUUCUUUUCUAUGAGCUCAUUGUUCUAGGUUCAGGACGCAUGCUGCAUUAUCGAUUUCAUUGUCGGAAAAAAGCAUGAGUUUACUGUUUGGCAAGUCAUCGACUUAUCAGGUGCAUUCAGCUACAGAUGGUAUGCGGCUGUUUGGCAUGUGAUCCAGCUGCAUUAUUUAGUUUCAGUGUAGCAGCAGCUGUAGUGUCCAUUGUUUUGUGUUUGUGUGAGGCCGUGGCUACUGAGUACUGACUGAGCCUGAUUGAUAUUCAGUGAGCCUGAUUGAUAUUCAGUGAUAUAGCUGGGUAAUUCAGGUGUCUACUCACUGUCUAGUGUGGUCAUGGAAGGAAGGCAAGAGGGGGCUACAGGCUACUGCUGUUGCUGUUGCUGCUGUUGAUGGGAUUGUAAGCUUGUAACUGUCGUCUGUAUUCUGCUGAAUCCUAAACGAUUUCAUGUUCAGUACUGCCAGUUGUGUCACUUUGUUGCCAACUGUCAAAUCAAAUGGUUUGCCUGCACAAGCAUAUUUCAGACAUUUUUUCUAUCUUUCGAGAAAUGAAAUAUUUCAGUCGCUAUUCAUUUGCUUGCUGGGAUCAAGCUAGGUUUUGCCCAGGUGAUAGAAAUAUUGGCCCAGCCCAAUUAAAUAAAGGGCUCCCAAGAGCCCAGGAGCCAAAAGCCAUUUCGCAAAAAGGUGGCCCAAUCGAUUCCAUCUUCCUGCCCUUCUCAUGUUGGAAACAGAACUGCUAGUGCAUUUCUUUUAAAUUCCAGUCGGGCCUCUUAAGACUUUUUUUUACGGCUCAUACGACUUUUGAUUUACUUUGAGAAAAGGAGAAUAACAGGUUACAAAGGUCUCCCCCCUCCCACAAAAAAAGAAUGCUACAUAGAUCUAACUGUGGUGUAAAUCAACUAGAAUGCAUCAAAAUUUCAGUUACCUGUGAAAUAGACGCUCCCACACCAAAAAUACUCUUUGCCUUGCCCUAGAUGUACAAAAAAUAAGAGGGAAAAGCCAUGAUCAACUUAUUCAGGAUCCUUUUAAUUGAGGAAUCCCAUUGGUUGGAAGGAAUCGAAUCUUCAAGUUCAAAGUUCCUAUGGAUUGCUAGAAUUUGAUCCUCUUGACAACAAAUAACACAUUGUAUAGCUUCGUCAAAAGAAAAGAAAAAAGGGCUUCCAAUUCAUCAAAGAUGCCCUCAAACAAAGCUCCUUGAUUAGAUCUGAUUCUCCAGGGGUCUCACUCGAAUCAAAGCUGACACUACAAACGAGUACACAACGAUGGAGCAAAGUACCACCUAACUUCGUCUCAUGUCACUUUCCAAGCACCCUACAGACAAAAUGGACGGGGCGCAGCAGGCUUGAUGACAAGCUAGCGCACUGAUUAAAUCUAAACUUUGGGACGACGUAUUACUGUACUUGGGAGUUGGAACGGCAAGGCAUGUUUGUACUGAUGGCCGGAUAUGCAAUGCCGUGCUCCGGGGGGUCAGUCUGAAAGUCGACGUACCUGAUCACUGACCAGCAUCGUUCAGGACAUGACUAAGCAGCUUGUGCCAAAGAUAUUAAUUAAUCGAGCUCCGGGUAUAUACGAUGAUGCGACACCGAUCGCCAGCCUAACUAAUUGUAAUCAUCAUCCCUUGAGAUGCCCUCCCUCUCUGUCCUAUCAUUUUCGUGUUAAUGUGUUGGGAGCUUGUUACUUAGCAUUACGGAUCAGGAAUUCAGGUUCAGAAAUGUCAUCGAUCAACAUCAGCUUUAGUACCCACCCCAUCAUCAUGCCCAAAACAAGAAACAACAAACGGAAGCUUCAGAUGACAAUGCCGCGGCUGUCCUGCCCGGACGAAUGAACAAAGAACUCGUAUCGUGUGGUACUUGCUUUCCUCUUCGAUCUAAGACGCCGCCAUGGCAACCACCUCGAGCGGCCGAUCGAGCUAUAGCUGCCAUGGUUGGUUUGGUGCAGACUGCAGACACGCCUCGUCAUUUUCAGAUAGCUCCUGAUCUGUCGACUCAUCGAUCGAGGGUUGACGAAUUAGGGGUUCUGUUGGAUUCCGUUUCACUGUCGGUUUUUAUCAGAUCUCAUUUGAUGCAGAGCGCGGUAGCUAGACGCUCUGCAUCAAUCUCCAUGCAGGAACUUAACAUGCGAGUCAGGGACUCGGACACUCAGGGUUCUGUAGGCUAGUUCUCUUCUCCUCCUCCUCUUCCUUUUUUUUUCUCCUUCUGAAUGCACGGUUCAAUUUGUUUUCGAUAUGUAGUACAAUUCAAAUUCUUGGGGUAUUUAGCCUGACUGAAAGCUCAAGUUGUUUCUUUCUGUCAUGAGUAUUCUUCUGUUAUUAAAGCCCGAAGCCUGCUAGUAGUAGUAGUACCCCUUUGAGUGUCGGUGUGGCUGAUUUUCCGACGACUCCAUCAGCAAAAGGCACGAGGAAACUCAUACUGACUAGAAUAUAUCAUCGAGUGUCAAACUUGCUCCAUCGAACAAGCAAGCUAGAAAUUAUUUUAAACUAAAAACCAUCCGGAUCCUGCUGUUGCGCAUUCCUCAAUAUGAUCAAGAGAGCCUGGCAAGUCGAGCGUGCCGCGUAAUUAACCAGACGACGUUUAAACAGACGCGCCCCCUUGAAUGAUUAAUCAAUCAAAUUGGGUGCAGAAACUUGAAUAAAUUACCAAGGAUUCGCGCGUGAUGGGAUCCAGUCGACCGUUUCGAAGAUGUCAUCAACCCGUGCACGAUAUAUCCGGAGAAUGUAGCCGAGCUAGCCAAAACAGCGACUCGCCAUCUGAACUAGCCCUGUGAUGUCUUAACUGCCGAACUAAUUUAACAAGAGAGCUUAGCUAGAUCCAAGACCAAACUGGCAUUUCCAUAUAUGUAGUAGGCCAUUAUUCCAGUCGUCCCAAUCACUGUCAACUUGUACUAAUUUUGAUCUGACUUAACUAUACUGAUCUCUGUACCCCCCUGCUGAUCUGAAAUUGUUUUCUGAGCCACUGGUCUGAAAUUAAGGAACGCUUUGAAGUCUCCCCUUUACAGUCGUGUGCAAGGAGAUUGCAACAUGUGAGCCAACAACAACAGGAUUAAAAGUCAAAGCACUGCUGCAUAUACCAUAACGACAAGCACGUUGCAGGGGCUUCAGAGAGGAAGCUAUCAACAUAACCUUUCAGACAGAAAGAAAUGGAAGCAAAAAAAAAUAAAAAAUAGUGUGUGAAGUGUACGUACAUGGGAUGAGUGACAAAGCUUGACAAGCUAAAAAUGUGUGUGUCUGUGUGUGUGUGUAGAAACUGUAGAAGUGUAGAUACAUCUCUCAUACAUACAUACACGGUAUACGGUAUACUUGUAUUUAUACUAGUCCUAGGGAGAGUAGCUAUAUCUAUGACUGGGCGAGGUAGUUGCCGAGCGCCUCCUGGAGCACGCCUUUGAACCUGGCCACGUCGACGGUGAUGUUCUGGCCGUCCAUGAGCGUCUGCCUCAUGAACCCGAACCCCUUCUUGUGGAGCCCCGUCGGGUUCGUGAAGAUCUCAUGGUCCCUAGGGUACUUCUCCUUGAGGGAGCUCUCGUCGACGGUGAUCUCGUAUUGGACGUAGCGGAGCCCCAUUGCCUCGGCGGGGUCUCCGUAGUCCAUCCGCGCGAUCCAUUGUAGCCCGCCCCACGGCACCACCUGCACCAUCGUCGCGCCAGGUGGCAGGAACAUCAUGUUGGUCAGCCCUGCCCCGUGGACCCCAACGAGAACGUCGGCGGAGUUGAUCAGCCGGCCCACCUGUAAGUGACAAUGAGAUGGUAGGGUAUGUGUUGGUUCGUGUGUUUCUUCUUAACGAAAAGGCAGCGCUCCUGUGAAGAAAGAAAGGAAAAAGACCUCGGAGAUGUCGUUGGCGACGUCGGACUCGUUGACCACGGCCUCGAACCCGGCCUCCUCCGCCGCGAGGACCACCGCGGCGAGGUUGAGGAGGAUGCGGGUACGGUGGCGGGAGAUGAUGAGGAGCCGUGGCUUCCUGCCGGAUCCGUCGGCGAUGUUCGUGGGUGCGUCACGAGGGAGGGAGAGCGCGGAGCAGAGGAACCGUGUGAAGUCCGGCGUGGCGAGGCCGUCGAGGCUGCGGUCCUUCUCGAUGAUGAGCUCCCGGUGCGCGCGGAGGCUGACGACGGCGUGCCGGAAGCAAUGCACCUCCCCACGGGUCCCCGCCGCGGCAAGGUCCAACGGCGCGUAGCGGGAGAUCGACCGGAGGAGCUUGUCGUACUUGAUCAGCCACCAUGGCGCCACGUUUGCCAUCACGAGCUGGACAUCGCCGGCGUACUUAUGCACCGUGUUAAAGAGCGGCACAAUGACAUCGGAGAAGUCGUGGAAGAUGUUCCCCGUGUAACCCCCGAUCGAGAACGUGACGGCAGGGGCGUCGUGUGUCUGGGUACACAACGGCGGCGGAGAAGAAGCCGUUGUCGUUGUGCGCACGUUGAUCUCGGUGACGCGGCCCAUGCACGUCUCGUCGCCCUUGCGUGGGUAGGGGCGCACCUUGUGCGACUGCGGGCUCGUCCCUUGGCCGACGACGAGGACGAAGGAUGACGUGUUGGCGUCCAUGCGGAUGUCGCCGGUGAAGUCGCAGACGUCGCUGCGCUGGUCGGAGAAGUCGCACAACGUCGGGAGCGGCUGCUGUUGCAGCUCGUGGUGGUCAGCGGCACCUGCAUAGGCAUGACACACGUCACGUUAGUUAGUCAAUCAACGGGUAAAACUGUAUACGGUGGAUUAAUGCGCUAUUUCUCAGUCGACUUAGAAAUCACGGUUCCGACGUAUAUCCGCAGUGUUUUGAUAAACAACUUUUUACCCCCAUCGUGCUCGUACGACUUUCAUAAACAAUUAUUUCUCAAUUAUACAAAAGGAAAAAAAACCAAUAAAUUAUCGCUUGCUUGCUUACGUGCCGUCGUCUCGGAGCUCGCCGGCGUCUGCUGCUCCUCCGUCGUCAUCACCGCCUCCGCCGCGGCGCCCUGGAGCUUCAUCCGACGACCACCGACGGGCGUGACCUCCUCCUGACCUGGCAAAAGAAAAGGAAAACGUUAAUUGAAUAAUCAACUUUUACGACACGUUACGCCAGUACGUCAUGGAGGUACGGUCAACUGGACUUGGAAAAAUUUCCCGUGCGUGCACGAAGGUUAAUUUGCUUGAGACCUUGAGUCAGUACGUAAUUACCUGCAGGCUGCACGUCGGUCUGAGUCGUCGUCGUGGAACGCACGGCGUCGUCGCGGACCACCGCCUCCUCUGCGGCUGCUUCGUCUUGGGCGCCGGCAGCGGCAUUCCGGUCGCGCUUCUCCUGUGGCUCAGCUCGCUCGCCGCCGGAGGAACCCCUGACCUCCUGGAUGAUCACCGUGUCCUUAACCCCUGCCAUGUCAUCAAUUAGAGUUAGAUGCGAGUCAACUCCCUUGAGAUUCGACAAGAUCAAUCUCUCUCCGCGCUUCCACAGCACAUGCACUCCGCGCUUCGAGAAGAGUAAUUAAUUCUGGCAACGGAAUUAACUAAGAUACUCUUCAGCUGGCAUGGACUAAGGCAAGGACUAGAAUAAUUAAGGACACGCACAUUCCGUCGACUCUGUCGUCUUCUCGCCGCCGGUGCUGCUCCCGUGGCCAUCGCCAUGGCUCGCGCCGCUCUGAUCUCCCUGCUGCUGUGGCGUGAUGUCCACCAGGAAAUCCCGGCCUGAAAACACAAAACCCGGGCAUCGGUCAACACUCAGUACGAACGGCAUCGGCAUGCCGACUAAUCUCUCAAGCCUAGUCGAUCUUGUGCAUAGUGUUCAUGAAAAAAACCGAACAAGCAUUGGACGGGCAUACGUGAACGUACCUAAGGAGGCGGCGGGCGAGGAGGAGGAGGACUUGGCGGCGACGACGGUCUUGAUGGCCGCCGGCUUCUUCGGCGCCGGCGUGCGCGCCUCUUCCAGCCACGCCUUGGGGCUCACUGCACGCGCGCCCAACGUGGCACAGGCUCAGAAUCCAGAUAAAACAAUGCCGAUGGAGAAGCUAGCAGAUAGUAAGAUGACGGAGUUUACUUACGCGUGUCGAAUGCGGCGGCUUCAGGGCGGGAGGAGAGGAGGAAGGUGAUGGAGAUGAGGAAGCACCCCACAACGAUCGUCAGCAGCCGGAACCGCUGCGACUCGAACCGCACGCCGCCGCCCUUCAUGCCGAUCAAACAAACGCCUCUAUAGCUUCCUUGUUCUAUGUAUAUAUGAACUCAGUUAUUGCAAUGGAGAUACAGCUAGCAAAUCUAGCUAUAGGACGACUCUGUGUCUGCUACUUUGCUGCCCUGAUCCUUCCUUCUCUGGGUGGGCUGCAGCUUAAUUGGGAGGAGCCUGCCUGCCCCUGUAUGCUAUGGCUAGUAGUGGCAGCCUCCGAUCCUCUUGUGUGAGGGGAAAUGGAAAGGCUGACGACCCUUGCUUGGCCUUGGCUGCCCGGCGGCUAAGGCUAUAACUAGCCUAGUGGGAGGAGCCUCUUGUUAGCUAGGAACAAAAUGGGAAGGCAUGCAGGAGCAGGACAGGACUAGCUGCUCAUAUUAUUAUCUUGUUCUGCCAUUGUGCCUUGUCCCGUCGAACAAGGCAAGCACCAAAACUAUACCGACACUAAUUAGGAUUUCAGAAUUAAUACCGGGAAUAAUUAUUAAACACAAAAUUGAUAUCACUCGAUGAUGAUUGUUAACAGUCAUCUUGUAAAGAAGAAACUACUAGCAGGCUAGCUCAGGUGGCAUGGUUUCUUGUGGUGGAACCAGCCCACCCAGUUUCAAGUACUAGACUUGACAUGGUUGUCGCAUAUACCUAAAGCGUCUUCAUUUGUACCGUGUUCUAAAAAAAAACUAGCUAGUAACAGUUUGUUUUGCUAUUUCUGAAAUCAACAAUCAGGAUCACUGACUUAGAAUUAGGAAUUUUACUGUCACAGCUCAGAAAACAAGAAUUUAAACUUUGUUGGCAACAACCAAGCAUCCGCCGUGAGUGCGAGUGACCGUGUGAGCCACGUACAUGCAAGUAAGAGAGCAUGGCCCAACCAACCAUGUUCUAGCUCUUCUCUUUCUCACCCCCUGUUCCAUAUUCAACGGCGCUACAUACCGGUAGUAGUGUACCUGUGUGGUGGGGAACCAAGAAGCAACAAUGGACCAUGUUCAAUUUCCUUCCUUCUCCUAUUCCCUCGAGUGGAAGGCACGAACGUUGGUGAUAGAUGGUCCUAUCUUCAACUUCAACACCUAUGUGACCAGUGGCCACCGGUCCACCUCGAUCCAGAGACUCCAUGCGUCAGCUAGUCAAAUGACCAUGGACUAAAAAUGUGGACAACAGAAGCUUCCAACGCUUGCAUCCAAAUCACAAAAAGGGGAACCGAGAGAGAAAGGGAGAAGUCUGAGAAAAUUCUCAAGAUGAUUCCAAAAUGCUCGAAUGAUGACGCUUUGUUUGGCCCUGACUGACAACAGAGAGUCCAAACACAAGCAGCCGGACAUGGCCCAUAAACGUACACACUCUUUAAUUUUUGUUCCUCCAAUUUAUUCCCGGGCCUUGAUUUCUUGCAGUUUAUCAACUUGUUUUUGUUCUUGCUAGCAUGCAGCUCCAUGGAUCUCCGUUCUGCAAAAUUCUGCAUUCUUCUAAAUUUGUGAAUGUUGUCGUGUUUUUUUUUUGACGUUAGUGUCAUAAUGGGAUCGAUGCUGAUUACUUUUCUUGUAUAGGAGAGACCGAUAAUGAUGCGACACCAACCAAUUACUGUAGAGCAUAUAGAGUGCAAUGUAUUCAAUCUCAACAGAAAACAAAACAAACAAAAGCCACGGGCCACGGCUCUGCGUGUCUUCGCGUGCAGCAUAAAUCUAAGUCAUCCACCUCCGACCAUUAAAGUACUCCGUAUCAUUUUUGGAAAACCGGAACAAUCUUUAUACUAUAUAUAUAGUCCCAAAUCUGAUACGGAGUAUUUCCUUCUAGACAAGCGGAGCAGAUCAAGAAUCUCCCAACGUACUCCUACUAACUACAUUCCUCGCCUGAUUAGAUUAUCACUGAACGUACGGUUUGGAGUAAUGCAGACAGAUGGAUGGAUGGAUGGAUGUGCAGACCAUAUCUGCAGCACCACACUGAUCCUUUCCUCUCUUUUUGUUCAUAUUCCUACACCUCCUAAUUAAGUUCCUACAUUAUUUGUAUAUAUAAAAUAAUGGUUGCGCUUACAAAUGAUUUUUUGUUCGUGCCAUGCAACCGUAUCGAUUCAGACGAAGCAGUACGAACCAACAUAUACGUCUUGGAUCAUUCAUCGACCGUUUGUUGGGAUAUAGAUCAAUUUUAUGAUUAACAAAAUAACAACAUGCAUAUGGCGAUGGAGGCAAAUCCAAAUUAUGAUAAUUUGGAAGGUUCUCCCCUCUUUAAAUAUAUAUAAAUAAAGAGAGAUGUUUUUUUAGGGAGGACAACAAAUAUGAGAGUUUGUUCGCUGAUCAUUUUCAAUUAGCGGUACAUGCAUAAUUGCAUGCAUAUGUAUUCCAUUGGCAUGCAUGCAUUGACCCGUCUGUUUGCAUGUCGUGCAUCAGUAUGCAUGAAGCAAAUCAUUGUACUCUAGUAUUAUUGUUCUUCGAUGCAUGUGUAUAAAAGAAAAUACUCGUUGACCUCACCGACCACACGUUAUUAGCAUUCCGCUCAUGCAAAAAACAAAACUCGAAUUUCGUGCCAGUUUUUUGGUAGGGAAUAAAAUUGCUCUCAAGCUAUUGAAAAAUCAAUUCGUCUGAACAAAAAGUCGGCAAGGCAUGGGCCUUGGGCGCAUGGCGUCGGCUUGUUCUGCAAAAGCGAAAUUGGGCUAUGUAAAGAGGCCCACAGGCCCCCGUUCAGAAUAUCAGUACUGGGCCCAUCAUGGGCGUAUGGAGUAUAUUCCGUUUCAACCGGACCUCGCCCGUUGAGAGAAAAGUCUUUCAGUGUCUAUUGAUUCCUCUUCCUCUCGACAUCCCACGAGGCCGGUCUCCGUUCGGUCAGGGCCGGUGAUGUGCACUUUUUUCACUACGGGCCCAGUACACUUACAUGGGCUAAGCAUGCUCGCUCUCUUGUCUAAUGAAUCUCUUGCCAAUGGGCUUAUAAAGGUGCUUCUCGAUAUAACGGGCCGGCGAGCUGCCAACUAGUAAGCCGAGAGGUUCUCUUGGCCCAAAGAAUCCUCCGCUUCGUCUUUGAGGUACGCAUCCCAGGAUUCAAUAUCUAAUCAUCUGUAAUUUGGUGGCUCUAAAAAAAAAAUUCUGUAAUUUGGUGGUACUAAUUUUCUAAAUAUUUGAAGUACUGUAGUAGAAAGGAGAACUCAGUUAAAAAAGUCAGGAUGAAACUCACUUGCAACUGAUGAUAACAAUUUAGUUUUCUAGGUAUAUUACAUGGUAUGCAUGGGCUGAUCCGCAUAUAAGCCAUGGGGGCCGAUGCCCCCACUCAAUUUUGAUUUACUAGUACAAAUGUUAGAUUUUCAUCAUUGAUGCCUCCUCUAAUUUAAGUUAGACCUUCUUGAGAAUGUCUAAAUACCUAUUUUUCUGGCUCCGCCCUCGAUGGUAUGUAUCACCCUGGAUAUAAUAAUGGAAGCAGUGGAACAGAAACAGCAGCUAGCACUUGAUUCUACUCUGUUUUAGUUAAUCGGAUUGAGCAAAGAACCAGGCCACGUUAUGUUUUGAGAGUGGUCGUUGAUCCAAAUCAACACGUUCCCACGUCGGCGCUGCCCCUCGUAGCUAGGCUAGUUCCUCUUUUGCACAUGCACAUACGUUACAUGCAUGUUCUACCUAUAAAAGAGUAUUCUUUUCUUUACACGUAGAAAACUACAGUAUAUGCUACCGGUACGUACGCGUUGAAUCCUACCUACUCUUGCUAGUUAGGCCUGUUUCUGUUCUCCACUUUUAGACACGAGAUAUUAGUUUAGCUGUGUCUUAGAGAUGUGGCAUACAUAAUCUAUGCAGAUGAUAACCAUGUAAACCUAAGUGGCACCCACGAGCGAGCACGAACCCCCCGGUUCAAAAAAAACAUUUCAAGUGUCAAAACAACGAAAUAAUCUAGGAGUAGUAUACAUUUACACGCCUCCGCCUUGUAUAUGCAUGCAUCCAAUCUUUUAUUAUAGAAAAAAAGAUGUCCUGGACACAGCAAUAUAUACUCUUCUUUUAUUACCCGUAAUUUUUUUUUAUAAAAAACAAGGAUGAAAAGAUAUGAGCCUGUACAUGUGCAAAAAAAAAAAGAUGUCAUUGAUAUACCUAAUAAACCCUUUAUCCAAUGUACUGCUCAUGCUCGUGCUGUGGGAGCUAUUUCCAAGCGGUCCCGGCAGAUGAUAGCUUGCCAGCAUGCUGUACGAGAGAUUAUUCGAGUACGCCAUCGCUUUCUCGUUUACGUCUCCUGGCUGCCGACUGUAUGUGCGACAGGGUUCCACACCGGAUGGGCCACCGGUUUCCCAAAGCUCAUGGACAGUGACCACUUUACUCCACGGCUAGACCACGUAUGCACCUUCUUCCCAGACGUCACGGUGCCUUCGAUCGGCUGACAAAGAUAAAUUUCGGAAAAAUUGCUACAUGCAUACAUUACAUCGUCUACCGGCAGUGCUUGAUCAAUAACUGAAAGCCUCCAAUGCCGAUGAAAGUUGAGCUAAACUAAAGCAGAUUAAUUCCCAUCAAACAAAGCCUCUCCUGUUAGGUGGUUACGUGUACUGUGUUUCAGAGCUUUUUCUUUCUUUCUUUCUCGAGCCUCAGAGGUGUGUGUGACCUGGCCUUUGAUAUGUCCGCAAGCUCGGCCGGGUUCACGUGCCACACACGUUAAUAGCAAAGCUUUGUGGAAACAAAUGAGCAAGAGACACAUACAUGCGUUAAUAUUAUAGCAGAGCUGGUACUUUGGACUUUUGGAGUAAAGUGGUCACUGUCCAUGAGCUUUGGUGGCAAUAUGCAUCGGCCGACGGCCGUACUCCUUUAACGUCUCUCUCAUGCCUGAUGCCUGAAAGCGUAUGAUAUACUGUGGAGCAGACCAGUCGUGGGAACUUUUCUGCCUAACCACGAGGAAGAGAUAAUUCAAGAACGACGUGGUAAUAGUUACAAUCAAAUCGAGAUAACAAAUGCAUUGCAUGGGAUUUAAUUUCUUUCGUGAUGGAAUAAAUUUUCAUGAAAACAUAUACUUCCUCCGUGCAACAAAACAUGUCUCAACUUUGACUAAAUUUGAAUGCAUCUAUACACUAAGUGAUGUCUAGAUACAUCCAAAUUUUGACAAACUUAAGACACAUCUUUUGUUGGACGGAGGUAGGAUAAUACUUCUCUAUAUAGUUACUUUUUGUUUAUUCGUAAUCCCCUUUUCCCUGAAUACCAAGGCUUGGUGGUAAUCACGUUGUUAGCAAAAUCGUGCCUAAGAAAGCUUGUCAAAUAGGAAGAAACGACCCCUAAUGGAGGAAGCUGGGUGUUUUAUUUUUAAGUAAAACUGGAAAAUACGUGGUACUAAGAUAGGCCAUGCUCGCCAUAGCAUUUUGUUGGUAGUAGAAGGUCACUUGUCACGACCAAUGGAAAACCAGUGACAUUGCAUCAGUCUUGCUUGGAAAAAAAAAAUUGGCGAGUUAGAAUCUGCCGAGUCUUGAACCGUCUUUUUCGUGGCUGAAAAACACACUCUACUUGUGAAUGACCGAUCGUCGAUCAACAUGAAACGGAAACAAUUCUUCUUUUUUCUGUAAAAGCACAACACAAAAUUCCCUAGUGUAACGUGCAAAUAACAAAUCUCGAUUCUGCGUGCCAACGUGGUCAAUUUACUCGAUUUCUUUUAUCCCCAGGUCCUGUCAUGCAAUGGCACGAAAGUUCCUUCAAUGAGAUCUUAAUAAAUACUGUAAGCCUAUUUAUUUUUUUAUUAACCAAACUUGAAAGAGAGAAUGAAUCAAAGGAAAGGAAGUGUGUGCCUGGAAGCAAAAGAUACUACUCCACGAAGGACUAGAGUAGUAGCAUUUCAACUUUCAAGGUAGUACUGAAUUAGGCAAGCCGUGGGGCCUUGGAUGACAUACCCUGACAGCAGACGUCUUAAUUCUCCGCUGGAACAUCCAAACUCCAAAUCAAAUAUUCCACGCGUUUGACCUGGCCAUCUCGUUGGAUCAACCACCUCACAAUUCAUAUUCAAUCAAUCAAUCAGAUGGCCUAUACAUUUUUGCUUUGCCAGUUGCUGCCUCCUACUACCAAUCACGAGCCAAACUGCUGCUACGUCAGGGGCAUAACCCAACAUAAUCGUAGUUAAUUCGUUCUGCAGAUUUUCUAUGCCAUCUUCUGAUUCACAAGACUGCUUGUAGUUACAGUAUUUAUACAAGUGAAAAGCAUAUAUGCCCGAAUAAAAUACAGCUGGAGAGAUAGACAGAUAUACAUGCAUGCUCCAAAUUUGCAGACGUAGCAAUCAGCAGGGAAGAGUUGGGCUGGCAUUUGGCGAGGUCGUCGUCUGCUGCUGAUAAAGGCGGCCAUCCUCGAGAACUGGUCCAUCGAGGUGUUCUUGGAAGGUUCUCCCAUGUCAGGGAGCAGUUGACGUCGCUAGCUAAGCCACGAGACCCUCGACUUGCUCUGCAUACGCACACACGCAGACGUGCACACUCGGGGGGCGGCCAACAACAUCUGUCACGGGAAAGAAAGCAAUUAAAGAAGAAGCUGCAGUCUGCAGAGAGGAAGAAGAAGAAGGAGAGAUGAUGGGGGGCGAUCAGGGAGGGAAGAUGGUGAAGAGCUUGAGAGGCGCGGCGCAGAAGUACCUCGGCGUGGGGUUCUUGCUGGGGUUCUUCCUCGUCCUCCUCACCUACUUCACCGUCUCCGAGCAGUUCGCCAUCGCCGCGCCCAACGGUGAGCCGCCUCUCCAAAGAUCGAGCUCUUCUUGAUCGGCCGAAGAUGCUCGUCUGGAUUCAGAUGGUCUUUGAUUGAUUGCUCUGCCAUGGAUUUUGUUUAAUUUUCUACUCCGUGAUUCUUUCUUGCACGCUUUCUUGGGGCACACCAAAGCAUAACUCACCUCAAAAGCUGCGAAUUUGUCCGGUUUUUCCUUUCGGCGAUCCUUUUUUGGGCGCAACUUUUGCAUGUUUCUUACCUCUGAAUUGAGGACCGGGUCAAAAUACAGAGAUGUUCUUCUUCAGAGAUAGCAGCAUCAGCAUGUUCUUGAUCAGCUGAAUUAUAAGCAGAUAAUCAAGCCAAGGCAUCGAUCGCCCAAAAUUCCAACUUCUUUGCCCCUGUUUCGAGCUUUCCGUAUUGGGACUGACGGGAAUUCAACUUGAAUUUGCAGCUAUCCGGAGGUCUUCACCGGGGCACAACACGCCGGCAACCCCGGCCGUGGCAGAGAAGACGCACCAGCUCCCCAUCGUCAAAGGUAAUCAAAUCAAAUCAACGCGUUCUCCCGAUCAUUCUCCUCUCGCUACUAACGAAAUUGAUCUCCCUUAUGAAUUCACCACAAUUCAACUGAAUUCUGAUCAUGUAAAUUCGUUGGCGUUUCAUAUGGAGCAGAGGAGGAAGAACCCAAACCCAAGCCAGAAGAAGUGCAGGAGAAGCCCCCACCUGUCGUGGACGAAGAGCAGGAGACCCACCCAGAAACAGAGGAGGCCCCUGGCGCUGGCAGCAGCACCGCUGUGCCCGUGAGAAGCACGCCGGACGAGAGCGCGCCGGCGAAGAAGCCGGCGUGCGACAUCCAGGGUCCGUGGGCCUCCGACGUGUGCGCCAUCGACGCCGGCGUGCGCAUCCAGGGCUCCGCCCGCACGGUGCUCAUCACGCCGCCCAUCGAGUCCGGCGGCGCCAACCCGAACCCGCAGUCAUGGCAGAUCGUCGCCUACUCCCGCAAGCACCAGGCCGGCAUGAUCCCAAUCACCGUGCGGGAGCUGGCCACGGCGGCGGAAGCCCCCGCCUGCGACGUCACCUCCGAGGUGCCCGCCAUGGUGUUCGCCAUGGGCGGCCUGACGGGCAACUACUGGCACGACUUCAGCGACGUGAUGAUCCCGCUCUACCUCCAGGCAUCGAAGUUCCAGGGCGAGGUCCAGCUCGUGGUCACCAACCUCCAGCCAUGGUACGCCGGCAAGUACCGGCAGAUCCUCGGCAAGCUCUCCAAGUACCAAAUCAUCGACAUGGAUAACGACAAACAGGUGAGGUGCUACCCGCGGGGCAGCGUGGUGGGCAUCCGGAUGCACAAGGAAUUCAGCAUCGAUCCGGAGAAGGCCCCCACGGGGCACUCGAUGCCGGAGUUCACGGCCUUCCUCCGCGACGUCUUCUCCCUCCCGCGGGCCAAGCCGACGCCGCCCGCCGCCAUUGUUUCCGGUGAGAAGAAGCCGAGGAUGAUGAUCAUCUCGCGGCGCCACCCGCGGGCGCUGGUGAACGUGGCGGCGGUGAAGGCCAUGGCGGAGCGGGUCGGGUUCGAGGUGGUGAUCGGCGACCCCCCGUUCAGCCAGGACGUGGGCGCGUUCGCGGCGGAGGUGAACACCGCCGACGUGCUCCUCGGCGUCCACGGCGCCGGGCUGACAAACUCCCUGUUCCUCCCCACGGGGGCCGUGUUCAUCCAGAUCGUGCCCUACGGGAAGAUGGAGCACAUCGCGGAGACGGAUUUCGGGAUCCCCGCUUUUGACAUGGGGUUGCAUUACGUCGCGUAUUCCGCCGGCGUCGAGGAGAGCUCGCUGGUGGAGACGCUGGGGAGGGGCCACGUGGCGGUCGCGGAUCCCGAGGCCGUGCACCGGAGCGGCUGGGACAAGGUGGCGGAGUAUUAUUUGGGCCGGCAGGACGUGAAGCUGGAUCUGGCCCGGUUUGAGCCCGUGCUGCUCAAGGCCAUGGCCACGCUCAGGGAGUAAUUAAGCUUGAUUAUUGCCCGGCCGGAUUAUUCAUCCUACAUUGAUAAUUGGUUCGAGCUAGCUUAGGAGCAGUUCCAUUUCUUCUUUUUUCUGUUCAUGGAUAUUCUCUUUUUUUGUUUUGGGGGUUGCUUCUCUCUUUCUUCCCAGUUCUUUUCUAAAGGAGCUGGUGAAUUGAUCGAAGGGUUUACAGUGAUUAAUACACAGUAUAUAUUUGUUUCAACCAUUUGAUUGGUCGACCGAGAAAUAAGCAUGUGAAUCGUGAGUUAUGUUUUUUCUUUUGCAAUGUUUUCACGAGCAAAUCGAUCCAUCUCAUGAAUUGAUCGAAAGGAGUAUACUACAAAUUGUGCACUUCUCUAGCAGGUAGGAGUAUGUCUCUUUCAAAAUCUCGACAGUACAGUUUGUUAAUAUCUUUCUUCCUCUUGUUUUUGUUCCUCUUUUUUCUGUGUUUUCGUUGUAACUUGAGCUUUGGUCUCGGAAAUAUAUAUAAGGUAGACAGUUGAUACCUUCUUAUCCAAAAAAAAGAAGAUCGAAAAAAAUUAGUACUACUCCGUACUAAUAAUAUUUAAGCCGGACUCGUGUAAAGCAAGGAAUUACCUGCGUAAUGUUAAAUUAUAUUCACUCCGUCUCAUAUUAAGUUUCGAAAUAUUACAUGUAUUUAAUUACACAUUUAUUGGGUGUAAAUACAUCCAUAUUUUGAAAAAUUGGAGUCACUUAAUAUACACAUACACGCAAGUGGCGACAAACAGUGCAAGAGAAAUAUACACGGAGUAUUGAUACCUAGCUACAGGCAUAGGUCGGCUGUAUGCAUCAAUAGUUGUAUAGGCCGAGAUUUUUCUUCUACAAAUACAAAAAGGGCUAGAAAUAUAGGUAGAAUCCGACCUGUAUUUUCUAUGUACAACAUGCGGGCAUGAACGUAACAUACUAGUACGAGUAGUACGAUGGGCAUGUGCGAGAAGACUGCAGGCGCCGAACGACGUGCGAACGUGUUGAAUGCAUAUCAACGACCUCCAGGAGCAAACGUAACGUGUCCCAUUUCCUUGCUCACUCCAGAUAAUCGCAUGCCACGCAGUUUUCUUAUUUAACUGUUGCGAUGAAUUAUAUGCCAACUAGCAAUAAUAAAUUAUUUAUCUUGCGCAACCAGCAGUAAUCAUGCAGGCGUUGUUCAACAAGACAAUAAGUUGUUAGGAUCUUGCUCUCUCUAGUUAAUUUGGUGUACGAAAACUAUAAAAUUAAUCUUUUUUCUGUAAAAAAAAUUAACACCAACGCAAAUGCGUACGUGUAGACAUAUACAUGAUACAAUGGCUGUUAUAUAAUUGCAAAAUAUAAACUAUUUAUCGCUAGAAAGUGAGUACUCUCUCUGAUCCUAAAUUCUUGAUUCAAAUUUAUCUAAAUAUGAAUGUAUCUAUUCUUAAAAAGCAUUGAAAUACAUGCAAUAUUUCGAUGACAAUUUAGGAUCGGAGGGAGUACAUGUAUAACCGGCUGCCAGCAAUCCAUCCACGAACGAAGUCACUGGCUAGCAAUAAGUGUAUACAAAAUUUCAGCGCAAUUAACUAAUAAAAGGUUGUUACAUUGUUGAACCGUACGUGAGUGAAAAACAUAUAUACGAGACCUUGAGUAUACUACGUACAUUACUACUGUACUUUAAUUACGUGUACGUGCUGAACACCUUUUCAAAGACGAGCGCGCUAGUCGUGUUGGCGGUGCAUAGCUGUUCGAUCUCUGUCGUCGCAUGCAUGCAUGCAUGUGAUCGAUCGAGCAACCCAACUGCCCCCCAAUCUGCUAAAGAUCGAGCAUGCAAACGUUGACUCGUAUUAAGUUGGAGUUGGUGGCGAUGAUACGGUUGCCCGUAGAUUAAUUUCGUUAAAAUUUACAACCAAUAUGUCACUGCUCGUUAUUUUUUUUUUCUCCAGUUAAAAUUACAACCAAUAUGUCACUGUCCGUUAUUUUCUUUUUCUCCAGUUUUUUCAUGAUUUUUCUUACUCCAUCUUACAACCGACGCCACCACACCCGCAUGCCGACCUCGACGGCACCAUGAGUUGCCUACACAAAAAAUAAAAAUAAAUAAUUUGUGAUUUUAUUGACCCGUAGCAACGCGCGGGGACACCGGCUAGUAAUUAACACUUGUGAGGUUGCGAGGUUGGAAUUAAUUAAAAUGUCCGAACACGAGCUAGCAGAUCGACAACAAAUUGAUACGGAUCUUGUGAUUUGUGUUAAAAUCACAUCUUUUCUUUAUGACGGGUGAGAGUUUGUAAAAUUUGUUGAUAAGAUAUUGCGCACUAAAUUUGCUGUAAAAAAGGUUCACCGUAUAUUUUUUUAAAUCUACCAUUCGAGUUCGGCCGACAGAUAUAAACCCCUCCUAUCAUCGAUCAGUUUGCUAAUAAACUAUGUUAAUACCCCCGUUUCCGUUUAGGUAGGACGUACACGUCCAAACUUAUGUAUGCACAAACGCGGACAUGAAUGAAUAUGCUGCUACUUCUGAUCCUAAAUUCUUGAUUCAAAUUUGUCCAAAUAUGAAUGUAUCUAUUUUUAAAAAGUAUCUAGAUACAUGUAAUAUUUCAACAACAAUAUAGGAUCGGAGGGAGUAGUCGCUAAAUCAUGUGUUGGCAAUAAUCACAUUAUGUGUACUUUUCCGUUCAUUUCAGCAGCCCCAUGUAGUGUCAUCGAUCAAUCCAUCACUUAAUCAUUAAGGACUGAUCGUAACAUGCAUCAAAGAGACGAAUCAACCAAAUCCGUGCAUGUGCUAGCUAACUUAUGUACCUGUUCCGGUUCAAUUGGCGGCCGGAGAGAACUUAGCCGUUGAGAUGUCAUCAUCGAUCGACCAGCUCCCGUAUAUAGCCGCCACGUACGUGCCCAGCUCCGAUCGAGCUCUCUUGUCAGAAAAGGAAGCUACUAGCGAUUAAUUCGGAUUGGGAUAUCUGGGAUGAUAUAGCCAACGGUUGCUUUUACACCUUGCUUAAUGGCGUACUACUAGCUAAUACUAGCUAGUUAACCAGAUCAGACGGCUGCCAUUGAUUAAGGCCGCCGCCGAUUCAGAGCUUGGAUCAUGCGUAUUAUAUGGGGGGGUGGCCACCAACUCCCCAAGUCCCCAACGACUAUUCUGACGACGAUGCAUGACGCGCGUCGAUCGACUAGCUCAAAUUAAAGCAGCGUCGAAAAAUAUGCAUGCAGGAGGUAGAAGAGGAAAAUCUUUCUGUUUGUAAUUAAGCGCACACAAGACAUUCCACCAAGGCCUGUGUAGCGAUCUUGGGUGAUUCCGUGGUCUUAAUUAUUCCUUUUGAUCCAAGGAGUAUUUUCGAUAGUGGUACUCCGUAGUAAAAGUACUGUACGUGUAUUUGUCGUGAAACGUAGAGACUACGGAGGGUACAUUCAUGGUAUGUUCAUGUCCUUUCCGUCGUAGCUUUGAUAGCUGACCAACAUGCCGGUCCGGGUCCGGCCCGCUCCCCUGCUCUUAUUUUGGAGCAACGAUCUGGCUUUAUUGAUUCAAGAGACAACGUACAAAAAAUCGAUACACGAACGAACACAAAUAAUAAAGAAACUCAACAAAACUAAAAGCUUUAUUGUAGUCCUUCGAACUAAACUUCUCUUGAUCCAUCAUUUGCAUCUUGAUGAUUCUUCACGUAUUUGUUGACAAAAUUACAGAAUACCAUACUUGCACAAGCUGAACUAACCUUUCAGAGGUUUUGAGAAGCCGCAUAAGCCUGCCCACCACAAACGUCAUUUAACGCACAAGCUGAACAAAAUUACAGAAUAUCAUGCUUGCACAAGCUGAACUAACGUCAUUUAACGCACCAUGGCCGGAGUCAUACCCCUUGCAAGACAAGCUAUAGAAUUGAUUUUUCGUCGAUGAAUCUACAAGGAAAAAGACUAAAAACACGAAAAGACGUGUCGUGAGAACCAAUGACUCCAUCACAUAGGUUACAACGCCUACACCUGGAAGAUAAAGAAACCAGGACACCAAUCUUCUAGACGAAGACGUCUCCAUCGCCAGACGCCACCGAGAAGAAUACAAUCUAACAAAAGAAAUUAACGUACCAAAACUUUAUGCCAGACGUUGAUCCGUGGUUCCCCUCGUCUCAUAAGGUCAGAUCGGCCGUGAGAGACGAGGAGAACCACUGGAGAUUGAAGCUUCCUCGAAGACGACGGCUGCUAGGGUUUUUCUGGAAACCCGAUGAUCCCUUUUAAGCGGCAUGAAUAUGCUAACCUUGUUUAGCGCGGCAUGAGCCCGAGGCCCGCAUAUAAACAUGUCGCGUCAUGCCAUCCUACCAGGAUACGUGGAGGUAGGCCCAAUAGCCCACCCAGGCCCGUCUAGCUCGCCCGGAAUGAGAAAAAUCGAAAGGGAAUGUAAACUGAAUAAAAAAAAAGCUAAACAGGCUGUGCAGUGCCGCUUCACGUGCUCGAACCAGUUGAUACGGCGUAUGACGGAAAUAGACGCCCUGAGAAUUUGGCCGAAUCUUCACAGUACAAAUAAUCAGUCGGCAAUUAUAUUUCCAGUUUCUCAAUGGCUAGCUCUCCGAUGCAAACCACAAACCAAAUAGAAUAGGCAAUCUCUAGGCUAGCUCCUAGCCUAAUCUCACGUGAAAUAGCAACGGCAGUAAUUUCCAAGAUACACUAGCAAUCAAGAAAAUAGGGGAAUUAGGUUUACUAGAUGCAAACCUAAUCAAAACAACAGGCAGACCCCAGCAGCCGUGGGUAUCACCUGAAUGAUCCAAAGAGGAACACGCAGCGACUGGAGAAGAUCAUCUCCAAUCCACACGCACGGCAACAAAACCCACGUUGGGAUUCUCAACAGAUAAUAACAGGACUUGGCUGCCGCAACAUCCUGGUGAUUUUCUAGGUUAUCUUAAUCAAAAACGAUUCUAUGCCUUAUUACAUGGCCGGGUGGCCUAUAUAUAAUGCACGCAUGCAUCCUUAGUUGGACUUUGUAACAUGGUUCGACACCAACACGGACUGAAACCAAAACGACUAAUAAACCAAGUAUGCACUUUUUUCCUAAAGAGAAACCUUGACGCUUCAUUUUUUAAAAACACCAUACGUAUAGAUAGAAAGAGCAGAACUAGAAAACUAUUCGGGACUAGAAACAACUACUAGACGACAGACAUGUAGUAACACAAAACAUGAUUUUUGUUUAGAUUUAAUGGCAAUUUAGCCCACCAUAAUAUACCUGCAUGGAGUCCUAAAAGUAGGCUUCACCUCAUCCUCUGGAAUAAUUUGUACUUCAGCCAAACCUUUUAAAACUAAAGUGUCGCUCGUGCCUUGAACCAACUUUGCAUUCAUGUCGACAUGAGCGAUAAUGCGCCGACGAGCUAGUGCCACGUACCUCACAGCCUUAAUGGAAUUAUCAGUACAUGUAGACAAGACCUCAUCACCAGUGCUAUUAGUUUAUGCAGAUUAAGUUAGCAUGUUAAGACAUGACCAGUUUUUUAGAUAUUUAAACUUAAACCAGAUUCACGUGACCGUACACGAUAUGUGUUGAGAAUCUUCUCGAAAAAUACUUCAACAAUGGUGUAUUAUAAUUUUAAGAUCUAAAAAUUAAAUGCUUUAGAGAAUAUCAGUGUACAUACAAAACAAUAUAUGUAGUUAUAUAUAUAGAACCCACGAACACUAAUUAAUUAUUAUUUUUCACCACUACAUAUAUUUCUCCCUAGUUCCUUGUUAUAAUGCUUUCCUAUGAACAUGAAAAAAGAAUUUUAUGACCAUAUGGAUAUUUGUACAUAGUUUGUAAUUUUCAAGUGCCUCUUAGUGUACCGCGGCCCUUCCGUUGUCAAUAUCGGGCCGUGUGGGCUGCGUUAGUUGCGCCGGUCCAACUGCUUGCCCAGACAAACUCUAAAUGAGUAAAAAAGAGAACAAAAUAAAUCUUGCGAACCAGUUCGAAGCCGAUGGGGUGAGUAGGGCGGCUAAAGAGACAAACCCGAUUUACCUGUUUUUCUUUAUUCUGACAUGGACCCCACUAUCAGUACCUUUUAAUGUUUUAAAUUGGAAAAUGGGAAAAUGAAUUUACAAAGAAUCCUCCACUAUAUUAAAAUGCUAAUGAAUAAUUUUACAAAAAUCCUUAAAAUGUGAAAUAAGUGUUAUUAUUUCAAAAUGCACUAAGCAGUAUAAAAUAUCAAUCCUCAAUUUAAUUAAUGAAAAUAAAGACAAGACUUGUAAGAGAAAUGUGGACAUAACACCAAAUCCCCAAAAAAAUUUCCCAGGAUUACAACAAAAAUACAGUUAUCCAAAUCACCUCCAAAUGUCUCAUAAGGGAUUACAAGAUAAAAAAAAAGUUGAAUUUGGUAACUGAGAUAUCAUGAUAAUUCAUUUUGGUGUGGUGGUACAUUAUUGAUAGGGGAGAGCGUGCCUAUUUAUAGGACUACUACACCAUUGGAUUACUCCCAAGUGGCAACCAUCCAAACUCUACAACUAUAAACAUGUUUAUUCUAGAAUACUCAACAUAACUAUUCUAGUUAUAGAACUUUUCUAGUUUACCCUGAAUAAUUUUUUUUGUGAAGAGAAUCGCCGAUCUAUUAAUAAUCAUCAACAACAGUACAAAGAGCCCUACAAGUAAUAAAAAUUACAAAUUGGUACUUGGACCAUCCAGCGAUGGCAACAAUCACUAGAACGAGCCGAAGGCGGGCCACCGUCUUUGCCCCUCCAUCAAUAGAGCCGGCUAGAGCUUGCCAAAGGAGUGCUUGCGUGGUAGUAGACGGUGGGGUAGUCAUCGUGCUAAGAUGGCAAAGGACCAGCGCACCAGAGCAGCCACCAUCGCCAAAGAUGAGUACCAUAGAUCGAAAAAGCCAGACCUGAAACCACAUGAAGAAACAUGAACACCGACCAAAACCCAAGGGAUUCGCUAGAAACCCAAAAAGUCGGCUGGAUCCCAAGGGAUUGGCCGGAAACACAACUCCACGCGCCCUCCUCUAGCGCUAGGCGCAACACCGGAGCAAGGACAGGACGGGAAAGACCUUAUUCUUACUAUAAGAUGUUGCCGUCGCCUCAGCAUCUUGAAGAAGACACAAAAAAAAAACCUAAAACAAGAAAAGACAAGUCCUUCCGUUGGCGAGCGGCCGGGAACCGCCACACCUCCGAGGCCAAGGAAGCCUUCGGAGACGGGACGGGCCGGCGGCAGCGCCGACGGGGAGGGACAAUUUGAAACCAAGGUGGCGCCGCCGCCUGAGAUCGCUUCCACCUAGGGACUAGCUAGGUUAGUGCUUCGCGCAUAGGUUGUUUUUUUUUUGCCCUGCAUAAAUUAUUUUAUUGUCUUCCACGGUGAAUGUAUUCUUCUUCAAACAUAUUCUGAAGACUUCUAAAAAUGUUCCGAUUUUCGCACGAGAACAUAUUUUAAUUCUCCCUAAAAGGCACAUAGCAAAUAUCGUCUCUUGUAUUGUCCAAAGUAUUGCGUUGCGUUGCUAUGAAGCCGUGUCGCGAAUCGCGCGUAGGAGCCCACCAACUUCCUCCUUCGUCUCCCUCUCGCUUUCUUCCCGUGCGCACCGCCACCUCCCUCUCCUCUGCGGGCUGCCGCCUCGUGACUCGCGAUUGGCGGCCCACGAACUUCCCCUUUGUCUCCCUCUGUCCCGUUUCCAGCCGCUGCAGAUCACUGCAUUGGCUUUGGUCACAGAUGCCGCCGAGCUGGGGUGAUGAUGUGCACUUCUUUCCUACCGGCCCAUUACUCCUCUACAUGGGCAUACACUCUCUCUUGUCUAAUAGACUCCCGGCCCACAGGCUGAUAGGCUCCUUCUUCUCCAUUUUUUUUUCAUCUUCCUCGACAGAUAAAGCUUUUGCUUUCUCUCGAGAAAUAAGCCAAACCCUUUCAAAAAUUAGAGCAGCCAAACUCUCUUAUUUUUUCUAUUUUUCGAAUUAUCAGCUAGCUGAUAAACCAUCAAGAUUCACAUCUUCGGCCGUCCGAUUCUCCGUCAAACACGUGUAUCUUUGAUGUAUUUUUUUCUACAGGCUAGUUUGCCUUUUUAUUUUAAUCCAAAUUCGACAUCCAUUGCAUGCAUAAUGCUUCGGAGAAAAAACUCUAAGAAAAUACAAAGUAACUCCUAUACAGUCAAGAAAUUAUCUUCUCGACAAUAUCAAUCGUUGCAACACGAAGUACAUGUACCCCAAGGCUUUGGAAAAGAUAUUGUGAUUAGACUAGAACAACGACGCCGCUACUCGAACAACCUGCACGAACUUGACUACCUUUGAAGUUUUCAGAAAGCGGUUUGAUUCGCCCAUCAAAAAAUAUGAAAAGUCACGAGCGUCGAACUAAAUUGAGCAGAGGAUGAUUUCCAAAUCUUCCAAAGAUACAUGCUGUCGAACCACAAAGUCUUCAUCGGAACAAAAAAAAAGAACUCUAGGGUCACAAAAACUAGUGCCAAUAAAAGCCCAUGGUCAUGGGUACACAGUUUUCCUUAUUCUUAUACCAAAAAAAUAUAUAUACAGUACAAAACUUUACAUUUUUCCUAAAAAGAAUCCUGGUAUAAUUAUAAAGAAAAUAAUUUCCCGGCGGUUUUGCCCUGUCUGUCACACACAUGCUGAGGCUGCUGAACUUGGGUCACGACUCACGAGAGGCACGGCAUGAGCCAGAGCGAUUUGUCCCAGAGCACGUCCAGCUCCGAUUCCAAUCGCCUCUCGGUGGUGUCGCUCUCUGCGCGCGGCCACGCGACGUGGCCGGUGCGCACGUCGAGCGCCCACAAGCCGCGGCGGCCGACGAUUCCGAUGGCCUUGAGGUUGCAGAGCGGGAUGUUGGUGAAAUAGACAGAGUCAGGUCUGAGCCACGCCGACGACUCGCCGUCCGCGGGCACCGACAUGGUCUGGUUCCGGUCGCCGAUGAGGAAAGCGCGGUCGCCGCCGACGCUCGCCGCCGCCGCCCACGACGCCGACGCCUCGUCGUAGCGCAUGACGAGCAUCUCCGGGCAGUGGGGGCCCCGCGCGGCGCCUUCGCCCUCGCUGGCGCUCCACACCACGUGCAGCGCGCCGUCGCCGGAGAAGGCGAGGUGGUAGCCGCGGCAGAGGUGGACGACGCCGCGGCACGGCGGCCGGAUCACGGCCACCGGCGCGAACGCCACCUUUCGGACGGCGAUGUCCAGCAUCAGCUCGAGGUCCUCCGGCUUGGGGACGAGCCGCAGCAAGGGCAGCGGCGGGAGCUCGAUGCGCGCGCCGGUGACGGGGUUGGCGAGCGAGAUGAUGACGUGUUGGCCGGGGACGUAGGUGACGAGGGCGAGCCAGCCGGCGUUGGAGCCGACGCAGCGGGCCGGCGCGCCCCCGGGCGGCGUCCACUGGAAGGAGUUCAUGGUCGGCGCCGAGAGCACGGUGAAGGAGUCGCUGCAGGCCUUGACGCGCGGAAGGAUCACCCAGGGCGCCGGCAUUGCCGGGGAUUCUUGUUCCUCCAUGGCGGCUCUCCAGGUGCGGCAGACGGCGCGGAAGCAUAUUCGGCCGGGGACGGCCAGGAGCGUGCCGAUGUAGUUCAGGAGGUCCCCGGGCAGCCCAGCUGACCAAUCCUGAUUUUUAUGAUGUUUAAGAAAAAAAUUUAAAUCUUAGUUGACAUGUUAGAACCGUCGAAUUAGUACAGGGACGUCAUUCCAUUCCUUUCUUUCCAUCAUCCGUUAGGAAUUUUAGCCUGACUUUUAUUCGUCGGAUCAAUAUAUAGACACAAAUCAUAUCCAUUGUCUGAGAAAUCGACUUAUUCUAAAUAAAAAAUAAGGCAAACGAAAAAUUGCAAAAUUGAUACAAUAUAUAAUACGGAGUACUUGUUUUUUUGUUAUGAAACAAAGUGAAGGAUAAAUUGGCAGAGCUCCGCCCCAGAGGAACUUGGUGAAAAAUUGCGACAAGCCUUUUUUACCGCGGAAAAGGUGUUUUUUUUCUUUUGUCCUACUUUAUUAUCUUCAUCUUCCUUGCUUUCCCGCCCUUUUGAUUUUCUCCAACAUUUGAUUUUUGACUUUUAAUUUUCCUAAACUUUUGGUUUUAUUUCUAAAACUUUUCUACCUUUUUUUUUCUUCACUUUUAAUUUCUCUUACUUUUGCUUUUAAUUUACUCAAAUUCUGAAAGAUUAUUUUUACCCAACAACGGCAGAGAAGAGCAGUUGGCGGGGGCGGCGUGGUGAUGGUGGAACGCGGGAAAGAGCCACCACGGCCGGAUCUUGAUGCGCCGGGCCGUUGACGGCCACGGCCUCCCGGGCCCCGGCAGCACCGCGGGGAGAGGAAGAGCCGGCGGCGUCAACACGGGGAAUAGGAGCAGCCGGCAGCGUGAGAGGCGUCGACACGGGGAAUAUGUUGUCAACAGUAGAUCUGCAGUACACAUCCGCUGACAGGGACACGCCGAAGGAUCUCAAGUUCUCAACAAUGCAGUGCCAUUAAACACUGGUCGCCGUCAGCAGCACUCAAUCUGUACAAACCAAAAUAGCUUUUAGUAGGCGUGCCAACAAUUAAAAUGUGUAAAUACACGUUACACUUAUGCAAUAAACAUUAUAUGCUACCCAAAGUAAAACUCAAUUAUGGACCAAUGCAAGUAAACUCAGUUUCAGUAGAAAUUAUCAAAAUGAACAUAUAUUGCUUCAUUUAGAUAUCGAAAUGCAAAAAAUGGUGUACUCACUUCCCAGUGCUUGAAAGGCCUGUCGAGUUGGUCUCAGUGGAGAUGUCCAGAUUACAACAAGCCAAAGGCAAAUAACUAUAUUUCAUCUGUUCUGAGGAAGUAUAAAGACCAAAACUACUUAGAAUGAUUACCUAAACAGCAGAUUCACUGCGUACCAACAACUUGAGGCCCUUCUACGGUAAUUUUGCUAUUUCAUCGAGAAUGUACCUUCAUAUCAAACCCAACAACGCCAAUCACCUGAAUACAAUAACUGACACUUUUAAGUUACCAAAGAAAUAAAAUAGUAAUUAAAAACAACAUACCUGGGGAAUACAACGGACGCCAUUAACAAAAGUUGUGUGACUAGUGACUACCGCCCUCUAAACAAGUUACUGGCACUUUCCUCCAACAAAAGACCAGUUGAGUCGAUAACGUAAUCAACACAUGCCUCAUCCCAGGGAAUCAGCUCACUAUCUCUACAAUAUUAGUAUAUGUAAGAAGUAGAAGUACAAAAACUACUUGUCACUGAAUAUGCACAACAUAAUUCUGUUACCAAGCUUAGGUUCAAAUUAUGUGCGUCAAGAAAACAGGAAUAUAAGAGGAGAGUAAUACCCACGUGAGAGUAUUACUUCCAAAGUACAGCUGUUAAACAUACAACUCGAUCAGUUACAAUUUAAAAACCUAACAUAAAAGGGAACCGCAGAAUAAAUUUAUUCACGUCGUUUCUGCCUAAUUUUUUUUAGGUGUUAUUAUAUCUCGGUUGUCUCAUUUUUUAAAAAGCUUAAAUCUCACUUGACGUAUGAGAACCGUUGUAUUAAUAUUUGAGCGUCACCACACUCCCCUCAUUUCAGUGUUCAUUCCGAAUCUUAAAGCACAAACCAUAUCCAAUGGCUGAGGAAUCAACUUAUCUCUAACAAAAUAGCAAAAUCGAUUUCUUUUUGUAUCCAAGCAAAAUACUACUCUAGCCUCCUUUUUUAUUAUCAUGGCUGCCCAUGAUAAUAUAAGAUUGUAAAAUUACCACAUAACCCCAAUUUUAUUUUUCUUAAGAAGUCGAAUUGCGAUUCUUUUUCAUAAGUUGCAUUAACGAAGCCAUCGUCGGGAGGAGGACUUGGCGGAGAGCCCCAGUUCCCGUCGCCGCGCCGUAACCCCCAGUCUGACGGCCGUCCAGUAGGAGGACAAAGACGCCGCCUACAACGCAGCGGCCGCCGAGUCGAUCAAGACGGCAGAUGAAAAGGAGCACCGCCGACCUCGCCCUCGCCCUCGCCCUCGCCCUAGCCUUCUACCGGUUAGAGGAAGACCGAGAGGUACUCUCCGUCUCUUCCGAUUCCGACUAGGCCGCGGUGGCGAGAAGCCCACCUCUAAGUAAUAUUAUGUUUUAUAUAUGAAGUUGGUCGAAGUAUGUAUGAACUUAAUCAGAUGAAGUUUCUAUGUAUUAUUAUUUAUGAAGUUUCUUUGUAUGAACUUGUGGUUUAAUUAUUCAUGAAGUUUCUGUGAAUGAACUUGUGGUGCUUGAGACGAGAUUCGAUGUGCUUGAGACGAGCACUGUAACUCAGGUCGAAACUAGCCGUAACCGACUUAACUCAGGGUCUGAGCUGUAAACCGACUACAAAGAUCGGAAUCGACCCCAACAGAAUCACAAACAAGUUCUGAAAUCCGCCUCCUCCCGCUCAAAGCAUCCUUGCUCUAGAAGAUUCCAGUGCUCGCGAUGUCUUCCACCCCUCCCCGGCCGCCAGCAGUCGACGGCUCCCGGCCCCUGCUACCGCUCCUCCUUCUCCUGGCGUGCUGCUGCCAGAGGAGGUGGAUCCCCUGCCGGUAGUGCCAGAGGAGGCGCCGGCCCCUGCUCCUCCUCCUCCUGCCGGCGUGCCUGUGCCUGCCAGCCCUUGGAUGCGGAGGUGGAGCCGCUGCUGCCACUUGAUCCGCUUCCGCUUCCGCUCGCUCAGCUGCAUAUCGUGUACCCCCCGCAUCGUAUUGCUCCAUUGGUCCUCGAGCGCGACCCCAAGUUCAUCUUCUCAAUUGCCGGUGGAGGUACUGGGAUCUUUGUCUCCUCUCCUCUGUUGUUUUCUGAAAAAAUUUCUUCCUAUAACCUGCCUUUUCCGCCUGCUUACCUUCAGACGACGCACUCCUACAUGAAAACGUAGUGCGCAAGCGUGGGGUGCGGAGCAAGCGGGUCAGAAGGCGUAGGACUGCCUACGAGGAGAUGGAGAUCACUGCCGAGCUUGAGCUGAACAAUGCGAUCGGAUCCUGGAUUUCCACGACCUACUGGAGCCGCCUUCUAUUGUGGGUCGUCUCAGGUACAUUUCCAUGGAGUGCUGGGCUUCGGAUGAGGAGGCGGCAUCCAUUGGGGCUGCUUCGGUGCCCACUGCCGGUCCAUGAGACAGGCCCGUCCUUGUUGCCUCCAUUGGGGCUGAUUCAGAACCAAAACAGAGUUUACUUCUCAUUUGAACCAAGGAUUGAUCAAAUCCAACUUAAUAAUGUGGUUUUCGUUUUCGUAAUACUAGUAUCAAGUGAUCAUUGAUGCAUUUGUACUUGGGACGAACUGUUUCUAUUACACGAUAUAUGGGAAAAUACAUUUCGAAUGAUCCUGGUGGGUGGGCUGGGUACACAGGAAUCGCACAUUCAAUGGCGACCAGGCGCUGAAUUCCUGAAUGGCUGGGUACAUUUUCAUCAGCUAUUUGACGUAUCUUACCAGUUAUAUACCUCACGACAACUGGAGUAUUUCAUCUAGAGAUUCCUUGUAGGACAGCAGAGAGUCAAGAAUGAAUUCCUGAAAAUUGUUAGCAGAAUGUGCCCAUCAUUGCAGGACAUUGUGCCAUGCUCUGCACAAAGGUACAUGACAUAAUUGGAUAAUUUCCCUGCUUGGGGUUCUGCUCGAUCGACGGAGAGUCGUCGCGGCAUAGCUCAUUAGCUUGUCGUCGAGGAGGAAGCACAUGUCUGUCACUAUUGUGACAAUAAAAGCCCAUGGUCAUGCGUACACAUUUUUCCAUAUUCUUAUAGUACCAAAAAAUAUAUAUGCAGUGCAAAACUUUACAUUUUCCCUAAAAAGAAUCCUGGUGGAGUAUAAUUAUACUCUAUCGGUAAGAAAAUAGUUUCCCGGCGGUUUUGCCCUGUCUGUCACACAUGCUGAGGCUGCUGACGAGAGGCACGGCAUGAGCCAAACCGAUUUGUCCCAGAACACGUCCAGCUCCGAUUCCAGUCGCCUCUCGCGUAUGUCGCUCUCUGCACGCGGCCACGCGACGUGGCCGGUGCGCAGGUCCAGCGCCCACAAGCCGCGGCGGCCGACGAAUCCGAUGGCCUUGAGGUCGCAGAGCGGGAUGUUGGUGAAGUAGACAGAGUCCGGCCUGAGCCACGCCGACGACUCGCCGUCCACGGGCACCGACAUGGUCUGGUUCCGGUCGCCGAUGAGGAGCGCGCGGUCGCCGCCGACGCUCUCCGCCGCCACCCACGACGCCGACGCCUCGUCGUAGCGCGUGACGAACAUCUCCGGCUCCCAGGGCCCCCGCAAGAUGCCGUCGCCCUCGCUGACGCUCCACACCACGUGCAGCGCGCCGUCGCCGGAGAAGGCGAGGUGGUAGCCGCGGCGGCGUGCGCGAGCUGGCGAGGCAGGUCGGGGCACGCGAACGGCACCGGCGCCGGGCACUGCGCGGCCAUGUCGGCCACCCACACCUGGCCGCCGAGAAAAAGGCCCCGCCGCCGCCUGCACCGUGCGGGCUUUGCCCGCCGGCGUCCACCGGCUCGCCGCCCGUGUCGCCCCUGCCGAGGGACGCGGGGGCUUUUUUUUCCUCCAUAUGUUGUCCUGUCCAUGUGACGUGCUUAGACGACAAAUCCUAAUUUAGGUCUAGCGGGUUAAACCUUUUCUUAUCAAACGGCCAAAUUUAUUGAUGAGUAAACAUGGUACUACUACAUCAGAUCAUACAAUCUGCAUGAAGGAACAACAAGACCUUUAUUAAAAACAUAAGUGGUGUCAAAAAUCUAUAGCAGAGAAGCUCGACAUUCUAGCAGAGCAGAACAGAACAGAGCCCUCUGUCUGAAGGUGCUAGCUAGUUCUGUCCAGCCAACACACACUGCAAAAACAGAGAGAUUUUAGAUAAUUGGCGUCAUGUCAUGCAAGGCAUAAACCAGACGGAUUUGGGCCAGUCCUGAUCCAGUUCCAGCUCGUUCAACACCAAAUCCUUGUGGUGGUCCUCGGUGGGAAAGGUGAUAACGCCGGCGGCCAGGUGGAACACCCAGACGCCACGCCAGUCACCGCCUAGCGCGAGGAGGCCACAGAGCGGGAUGUUGGUGAAGUAGACGGCAUCAGCUCUGAGCCACGGCGACGCGAUGCGGACCGGCACCGACAGCGACUGGCUCCGGUCGCCGAUGAGGAACGCGCGGUCACCGCCGACGCUCGCUGUCGCCGCCCACGACGCCGACGCCUCGUCGUAGCGCAUGACGAGCAUUGCUGGGCGGUGGUAGCGGUUGCUGGAGCUGACGCCGUCGCCCUCGCUGGUGCUCCACACCACGUGCAGCCCGCCGUCGCCGGAGAAAGCGAGGUGGUAGCCGCGGCGGCGGUGCGCGACCUGGCGAGGCAGGUCGGGGCACGCGAACGACGCGAACGGCACCGGCGCCGGGCACUGCGCGGCCAUGUCGGCCACCCACACCUGGCCGUGCGUGUCCAUGUAGUAGAACUUGCCGCCGUGGUACGCCACGUCUAGCUCGCGCCUGACGGCACGCUCCGCCUUGGGGAUCUCGCUGAGCAGCCGCCAGAUGCCGUCAUCGUCGUUGAUGCCGGCCCUGGCGUAGAACACGGUCCUGCCGCCGAGCGACGCGAAGGCGGCGGCGUGGGCGCUGGCGCUGGGGCGCGGCGCGAAGGCCAACUUCUGGACUAUCAAGUCCAGUUCACGCUCCACGACCGCCGGGGAGGAAUCCGGGAUCCAGCAGGGCGUCGGCGGGAGAUCGACGCGCGCGCCGGUGAUGGGGUUGACGAGGUAGAUCCCGAUGUGCUGCGGCUCGGGGACCACGGUGACGAGGGCGAGCCAGCCGGCGUUGGAGCCGACGCAGCGGGCCGGCAAGCCGCCCGGAGGCGUCCACUGGAAGGAGUUGAGGGUCGGCGCCGAGAGCACGGUGAAGGAGUCGCUGCAGCCCUCGGUGCGCGGGAUGACCGCCCAUGGCGUCGGCAUCGCCGGGGACUCGAUGGCGGCUCUCCAGGUGCGGCAGACGGCGCGGAAGCAUAUUCGGCCGGGGACGGCGAGGAGCGUGCCGAUGUAGUUCAGGAGAUCGCCGGGCAGGCCAGAUGACCAAUCCACCUCCUGCUGCGCCUCCAUCGCGAUCUCGUAAUUCAUGGCCUUGCCUUUCCCUGCAUCGAUCGAUCUGAGUAAUAAAUACUCCACGCAUUAGUUGUGGAACAGGAAACCGGCCUGGAGAUAUACUCGGCUUACGUAUACGCUGACCGAGUCCAUAUUGGGCACCGCCAUGCAGAAUUUUGACCAGUCAUACCCACAACAAAACAAUGCAACGGUUUUUAAUUUUGACUAGCAGUCCAGAAUUUUGACUAGGCAUGGAUGUAACUGUUCAAUCCUGCCCGGCGGCCGGCGAUCUCGAGGUGCAUGCGCGGUGGCUUGGGCGUCUGGCGCGAGCUUGAAGUUGUACUACGUGCCCAGGUGUGCCGCGUUCUCGCACCCGUUAGCCAAGCAGCCCUAUCGUGCACCGCCGCCCUUUUUCCGGCGACGGCGCGCUAGAAGCCUGGUUCUGACGGAGAACCAGCACGGCACAAAGAUAUGGAGAUCACCGUCACCGAGCUAGAAGCCUGGAAUUGGGUCAUUAUGCCUUGCAUGACAUGACCCUGAUCGACUAUACGACAUGUCACAUCUUAAAUCUUAGGGGACAUAUAUUAGGCCAUCUCCGAUGCAAGUCUAUUUGUCCAAAUAUGUUCAUGUGUGAUUUAUCAACAAAAUACACAAUCCAACGGAACCUUAUUUCUCUAAAAGUGGUCCACAGCUCUAUUUUUUUUCUCCAAAUUUGGAAAAAGUAUGUGAAGACUCCAUUUGUCUUCUUGACCCACGUGCAAAAUAUUCAUGAAGAGGUAAAUGGGUUUUAUCAUUGGACAACUUGAUAUUUUACUCACCCAAUUUGUCUAAAACCCAUCCAAAUGAACAAAUGGGACCUCACCCUUGGAGAUGCCCUUAGAACCGUCGAAUUAGUGUUGGGUCAUCAUUCUACUCCUUUCUUUCCAUCAGUCGUUCGGAAUCUUAGCCUGAUUUUUAUUCGUCGGAUUAGUAUAUGGACACAAAUCAUAUCCAAUGCCUGAGAAAUCGACUUAUUCUAAAUAUAAAAAUAAGGCAAACUAAAAAAUUGUAAAAUUGAUACUCCCUCCAUCCAACAAAAAAUGUCUCAACUUUGACCAAAUUUGAAUGCAUCUAUAGACUAAGUCAUGUCUAGAUACAUCCAAAUUUUAACAAACUUGAGACAUCUUUUGUUGGACGGACGGGGGGAGUACAAUAUAUAGUACUUAUUUUUUUUUAUGAAACAAAGGGAAGGGUGAUUGGCGGAGCUCGGCCGCGGAGGAACUUGGUGAAAAAUUGCGACAACCCUUUUUUACUACGGAAGAGAUUUUUUCUCUCUCUUUUGUCCUACUUUCAUUAUCUUCAUCUUCCUUGCUUUCCUGCACUUUUUGAUUUUUUGUUUUUUGAACUUUAAUUUUCCUAAACUUUUGGAUUUUCUAAAACUUUUUCUACCUUUUCUUUUCUCCAUUUUUAAUUUCUCUUACUUUUGCUUUUAAUUUCCUCAAAUUCUGAAAGAUUAUUUUUACCCAACAAUGGCAUAGAAGGUUAAAUCUCACUUGACAUAUCAGAACCGUUGGAUUAAUAUUUGAGCGUCACCACACUCCCCUCAUUUCAGCAUUCGUUCGGAAAUUUAAAGCAAAAACCAUAUUCAAUGGCUGAGAAAUCAACUUAUCUCUAACUAAAAUCAAGGCACUUAGAUAUUGCAAAAUGGAUUUCUUUUUGUAUCCAAGCAAAAUACAGCACUACUCUAGCCUCCUUUUUUUAUUAUCAUGGCCGUCCAUGAUAUAUAUUAUUGUAAAAUUACCACAUAACACCAAAUUUCUUUUUUCUUGAGAAGUCAAAUUGCGAUUCUAUUUCAUAAGUUGCAUUAACGAACCCGCCGUCGGGAGGAGGACGUGGAGGAGAGCCCCGAUUCCCAUCACCGCGCCGUAACCCCCAGUCCAACGACCGUCGAGGAGGACAAGGAUGCCGCCUACAACGCGGUGGCCGCUGAGUCGAUCAAGACGGUAGAUGAAGAGGAGUAGCGCCACCGACCUCGCCCGCGCCUUCUACCGGUUAGAGAAAGACCGAGAGAUACUCUUCGUCUCUUCCGAUUCCGACUAGGCCGCCUCUAAGUAAUAUUUGGUUUUAUGUAUAAACUUAAUCAGAUGAACUUGGUCCCGUGUUAUUCGAUGGUGUCUUUAAUAUAGUUAUUUAUGUAGUUUUUAUGUAUGAACUUGUGGUGCUUGAGACGAGAUUGGACGCGCGAUUUACUUUCAAAUAGUUGAAAUGCCUGUGCGUUGCAACGGAACAACAAAAUAAAAUGAUACAUUCAAAAACAUGCAUCGAAACCUCGCUUUGCUCUUCUUUAACAAUCAUCAAAUAUCUCUUUAAAAAAGGUUUCUUUCGAAGAUUGUGUCUCUGUACUCUAGUCUCUCAAAAUAGAACAAUAUACUUCCUUCUGAAAGUUAUAUAACAUCACCCGGUCAAAGAAGUUUUGAGACGGAAUCACUUAAUUUUUUUAGUUCUCUCUGUUAUCUCACUUCACCCGUUAAAACAAAGAGUUAGAAGGGGCAACAAAUUUAUGUUUUGCCAGCUGGAUGUUCAUUUAUGAGUAUAGACAUUUGAUUGUUUUGUUGAGCAUGCCUAUUUUGAUUUUGCUGGUUUUCUCAAGGAGCUUAUCAAUAUUAGAUUAAAUCAAGUCUAAUUAAUAAAUUGGCAGUGCAUGUGUAAUUCUUUUCCAAUUAUUUGCUCGAGUUGUUCGGCGGCUCUGGAUUGUGGGCAGUUCAGACGACUUGACGUCGUUGGCCUCUCAGCUAUCUGUCGGCUUGUAGUCCUGUCUCUGUGUGGCGGCUAGAGUCCGUCUUAUAUAGCCCACAAGUAUUAAAUGUGGCAACUCGUCCGCGGAUAUCCGACCAAAAUGGGUAGCAUAUGGGUCGACGUUUAUGCCCAUGGGUAUACCCGAUGGCUCGCCCGAUUAGUUAUGGGUAGGGUAUGUGUAUAGUUUUAUACCCAUGGAUAACCGAUGGGUCGCCCAGUUAUUAAUAUUUUAAUUAAAUAAAUAUUAUUAUUUUUGUAUAAUUUUUUUAGUGAAAUGUGGACUCUUUAUGCAAUAGGAUUAACGGAUGAACCCUGCUGUAAAAUAAAAUAAAGACCAAGUGCGAAAUUGGCCCGGUAGCCCAUGACUCGAUGACCCAUCAACUUGGCCUGUUUGGCCCAUCUCUCAGUCAGGCUCACAGAAGAAAGGCAUCGAGGUGCCUUCUCCCAUCUCUCAUUCUACACUCAGCCAUCAUCUCCUGUUGUCUCUACUAUACCCUAGGCACCGCCACCGUUCUCUCUCGCAGUCUAUCUCUAGCUCAUCAGCUUUUUCGAACAAUUCGCCAUCUCCUAGUGUAAUUUAACCCUAGGAGGACUCUUUGAUGCAAUAGGAUUAACGAAUGAGCCCUGCUGUAAAAAAACUAAAUAAAGACUAAGUGCAAAAUUGCCAGUAGCCCAUGACUCGACCCAUCAACUUGGCCUGUUUGGCCCAUCUCCCUCGCUCAGUUAGGCUCACGGAAGAAAAGCAUCGAGGUGCCUUCUCCCAUCUUCCAUUCUACACUCGGCCAUCAUCUCUCAUUCUCUCUACUAUGCACUAGGCGUCACCACCAUUCUCUCUCGCAGUCUGUCUGUAGCUCAUCAGUUUCUUCUGACAAUUCGCCAUCUCGUCGUGUAAUUUAGCCCUAGGAAGAGACUGUCGUGGCUGGGAAACGGAAGAGAGGACCAGCCGUGGCCGCGCCUGGGAGACAGAGGGGACGGCCAUGGCUUCGAUUCCUCGCCUGAUGGGUGCCCGAUCGGCAUCUUCCGACUCCCGUAGUGUUUCGGCGGAGCGAUCAUUUUCUCGUCGGAUUCGUAGUUGUUGCCCGACUCUUGUAACGAUCCCGUUGGCGAUGGAUUCCCUGGCGGAGUUUUAGUCCAAUUCGGUGCAGGUAACGGGCCAGCCGGCUUUGUAGGCGUAAUAUACAUGCAAUCUUUGGAGGGGGGCAUAAUUUUUUGGGAAAGUUUGAUAGACGACGGUGAAGGAAACGGUCCGUAUUUUUAGAUAGGUAUAGAAUUCCGGUUCAGAUUUUAUUCAGUUCAACCGAAGAGUUGCUCCGAGGAAAUUAAAAAUCUGUCCCAGCUGGUCGUCACAGAAAACUAAAACUAGCCGUAGCCAGCCGAUUUGAAGUUGCAAAUUCAUCCCCCCUGGACCCUUGAAAUCCAUAAUACAUCCCCCCUGGACCCUUGAAAUUACGGAAACCCCCAAACGUAAGCCUGUAACCGACUUGUAAACAUCCUGAUCCACCCCUCUGACCCCAACAGAAUCACAGAAACCUCCUCCCCUCUGAAAUCCGCCUCCCGCUCUCAGAGCAUUUCUUCGUCUGGAAGCUUCCGCUCGCUCGCCGCUCGGGAUGGCUUCCACCGGAGCCGGAGGGGAGAACCCUCGCCGCCCGCCAGGAGCCGACGGCUCUCCACCUCCGCCAGUCAACCUAGGCGCCUCCGCCUCGUCCACGUCUUCCCCGCCGACCCGCGCCAUCCGCGACGUCGUCUCCGGGAAGGGGAUCCUCGCCGCGACCGGCGGCGAGAACCCUCGCCUCCCGCCUGCAGCGGACCUAGGCGCCUCCGCGUCUUCCACAUCGUCCGCGCCAUCGGAGGCGUCGUCUCCGGGGAGGGGCAUCCUCGUGCGCGCCUCCGCCUCCGCCUCGUCCACAUGGUCCACGCCGUCGGCGAUGUCGCCUCCGGGAAGGGGGGUCCUCUCCGCGGGCCACCUCGGCUCGCACGAGGAGUCGUCCCCGGGAACAAAAAGGAAGCCCCUCCGCCGCGAGCCACCCGUCCUCCGCUGGCUGCCUCCCUCCGCCGCCUCCUUUUCCCCCUCUUCCUCGUCCGCGGGAGGAGGAAGUUCUUCUGCCUUCUCCCCGUCCUCCGCGCCGCAGUUGGCGAUUUCGUCGACGGGAAGGGGGCUCGGGCGACCCGUCUGCUCCACCUUCGCCGCCUCAUCCCCGGGCCCUUUCCCGUGCGCCAUGGAGGGCAAGACGAUCAGCUUCCGCUGCAGGUCGAUUCCUUAUGGAGCUGUGGUCGGUGAUGUGCGGGCGAAGGGCUCCGUCGUCGAGCUCAGAACCUCCGAACCCGUCCCGAAGAGACCAUUCACCGCUGGGGAGUGGGUGACACUACACGCUCCAGACGGUUCUUGCUGGGAAGGCUCUGUGAAGACGCAGGAUGACGAUCCCUCGGAUUCUCUGUACACGCGUCUACUGGUUGAUAUCCUAGUGCCGGCUCAGAAACCAGGCUAGUCCUUCUGAAAUCGUCUCUCAUAUCCUCUGUUUCCGUCUCUCCCUCUUCUUAGAUAUCCUCUGCUUCGGUUCUGGUGUUAUGUGCUGGAGUAUGAUCUCCAUGUGUAAUUAAUGUUUCAGAUAGUGCCACGGAAAACUUCAUCAUAGAUGUAUUUGCAACUAAAACUGUGAUUGCUACCCCACCUCCUCUCAAUGCUUGGAAGGUACGGAGUACUCGCAAUACUGUUUACUAGGGAAAGAUCUUUUAAAUUCCUGUCAAUCCUGAUUUUGUUUUAUUGCAUAGCUUCGGACUGUUCCCCAAAAGGAAGGACAUGAAAGACAUAAAUCAAGAAUAGGACUUAAAGGUACGGACGGUUUCAUUACAAUACUCAAUAGUAUAAUGGGAUGGUUUAUCAUUAUUAGCAUAUUUUUUGUGUUAGGCUUUGAGAAAAUCGGAAGGGCUGUUGCUGAGGUGCUCAUAGAAAGCUCCGAUGUUAACCUUGUGGCCAUCUAUGCUGAGGAGAUGAAUGCAACCAACUUGGUACAUGUUGCUGUAUUUUUUCUGCUAAAUGUAUUUCUGUCAUGUGAUUCCGUUCCCUUUUUGUAAUUUUGUGCUCAGGUCCGCUCGUGGAAGAACAGCAAUAUACCUCUAAGAUUCAAAGAUUAUAGAACAGUGGUAUUCAAAAGAACAUAUCAGAGAAAGAAUAACGCCCCUGAGGAGGAAGACAUAGAAGUCACCGUCUUCUUGGCUAGGUACUGCAUGUGUUCUGCUCCUGGGCUCCUGCAUUGCUACCCAGCUCCUCUCAAUGCAUGUACAGUUAUUGGGCUCCUGCAUGUGUUCUGCUCGCCGCACCUUGUUUUUGGAGAUUUUAACCAUGGCUGCUCUCCUAGGCUUACUCAUGGAUUGGAGGGUGGGAUGGGUGAUUAAGGGAUGUUUAACCGUAGUUUUUUUGUUGGUUGAGCGGCAGGGGUAGGGGCUCUGGUGCUAAACUGCUAAUUGCUCAUCCCUUCGGUUCAGACUUAAUUCCAUUUUUGGCGUAUCUGCUGUAUGUGGCAGUUUAGUUUAAACUUGAGUAUAGUACUAGGUAAAUUCUUCACUACACCCCUUUUCUUUGUGGAUUAAUCAAUAGUUAGUGCUGUUCAGAGUUUCAGAACUGUUAGUGCUGUUCAGAUGUUUAACCGUAGAUGUGUUUGUGAGAAGUACUACAUCCGAUCCUAAAUUCUUCUCCUCAAUUUGUCCAAAUAUGAAUGUAUCUAUUCUUGAAAGACGUCUACAUACAUGUAAUAUUUCGACAACAAUUUAGGAUCGGAGGGAGUAAUAGUUACUUGCUUUCUUUCUCCAUAGUGUUUGAUUUUUGCGCUAACUUUGUUUGUUCACCGAAGUGAACGAGAGAAUAUUCCAUGGAGCCAGGCUAGAGUAGAAUAUGUCGUCGAUUCUAUUGCUGUGACGGGUGAAACAGAUACCACAGAACCAAAGGUCAUCAACGACAAAAAAUUGGUCCAUUGCCUCACUCGAUUUCCCAAGGUAUUUUCUCUCUUUGUUUUAUCUUUGGUCUCUGUUUUUUUUUUUGUUCUCGUUUCCCUUAUUUGUCCAUAAUAACUAUGUAGGUGGCUCAAACUUUUGGGCUGCUUUUUGAUCGACAAGAGCCCCGGUUCACGAGACCGUGUUGCCGGCUCACCAUAGUUGCUACUAGCUUAUCUUCUGUCGAGGUAAUAAUAGAUUGAUUCCCAUAAUAAGGUGAUUUUGAAUGUUAAGAAAUGGUGUGCUUUAUUAGCUUCAAUUGUGCAGGUUUUGACGGACUCUUUCCCUCAAUGGGAUAAGACAGAAACAAGUAUGUCUUUUUUUGCCGAUGGAAGUGCCGAAGAAACGUCAAGCUUUGACCUGAUCGUCACACUCUCAACCAGUUCUAGCAACAAGUAAAUUACUUGCUCACGUGCCUUGUGUGUUCUUACUUUUGAAACUUCAACUCACUCUUCGUUGUGGUCUCGUAGGAGGCUUGGCAACGGCACGACCACGAGCGAUUCCUUCACUGCUCUCCUACGUACUUGCAUUGACAUGAUCCGGCUCGUGCCGCUGCCGAUUGUCAGAUGUCGACUCGUUCUUUUCUGAGUGUCCGACUACGGAGGAUCGAGGUGUCAUCGUGUCGGGCGUAAAAUGUGCAUACCAUGUUGGUACAGUUGUUGAAUAGUACAGGUUUACCUUGCAUAGGAUAUUCUUCCGUAACUGAUCGCAACCCAUGUGUCCUUGACUUGUCCAUAUCACAUGGAGUACCAGGUACUACCAUCUUAGCUCUGAACUUGGUCCUUAAUUGUUGAUAUAUUGAAAUGUAGAUGUCAUGCAGCACGGUGAUCAGAGAGAAAUUUUAAUCUGCUUUUUGUUGAUAUGUUCAGCUGUAGAUGUAGCACAGUGAUCAGAGAGAUUUUAUAUAUACUCCUAGUAGAAAUUUUACUGUGGUUUUUGUCAAGCUUUCUAUAUCUUUUGUUAAUGCAAUAUCUACUUUCCUUUUGGGAAGCAAAUUUUGCUCCAUUACAGUACUAUGUUUCCCCUGAUUUUUGGGCUCCAACCAUCCUGCUCAAAAACUUAUGGUAUUUCUUCCCUGAUUUUUGGGGCUCUAACCAUCGUGCCCAAAAACUUAUGGUCCACUUGAUUUACGUGUCGGCUGUACGUUGUUCUCUGCCUCUGUUCGAUUCAAUUCGUUGGUAUGCGCAUCUGCACUUCCUUGACCGCGGUGCACCGCAUCUGCAUGCGUGCGUGUCUGUAAGUAUGUGUGCACGUACGGGCCGUCUCAAGGGGUGAUGCGCGCAUUUAGGCAAACGUUUGUUGAUUUUUCUUUCUUUCUUAAUCAUUAUCUAUGUUUUUUUAAAGGAUUACGGUAGGUGAAAACCAGCCUGCACAACAUUUGAGUUAAAUAAAGGAAUCGAGAUACAACAAGAACAAUGGCAAUAUUUGUCAAAGAAACACAAAGAAAACACCUAGACCCCCGAAACAUGCCAACGGCGAAAAAAUGUACAAUAAAAAGCAUCGUCGAUGCAGUUGAAGGCGUCGAUCUGCCGAGCCCACCCAUACACUGUGUCGUCGCCGUAGCCGAAAGGAAGCAUACAGUCGAGACCACACCAAAGGAUACAGUCGAGGCCGCGCCACGACACUAACGUAGCCAACAGAGUCGAAGGGACGAGCGCCACCGAGACCCACCGCGACGCUGAUGUGCCGCAGAUGAAGUGGAAUGGCAACACGCCACCGAGAAUACAACAUGAUAUGUGCCGACAGUAAAGAAGAAAGGCAUCACAUGCCGAGACCACACCAAAGGAUAAGAAAUGCACAUUCUCGCCGGACACAAACCGACAGCUUAGGAUAAACAAGACACAAUAAGAGAUACCACCAAACUUCCAACAACACGAGACGAGAAGCUCCACCAUAGACCGCCCGCACCAUCCGGUCACCAAGAGUCAUGUUCUACAAGGCGACGCCCCCAAGGGGGAAAGCGACGUAAAAAAUGCCGUCAUCGCUCGAUCCGGCCAAAUCCAAACGUAGAAGCUCUUCGACGUCACCUUCAAGAAGUGAGGGAAUGCAAAUACCAAUGUUGUCUAGAAGCUCUUCGACGUCACCUUCAAGAAGUGAGGGAAUGCAAAUACCAAUGUUGUCUAUGCAAGUUUUCACCCCGAGCAAACACUCCAAACACCGGGCUGACGUCCAUGCCUCGCUCACCGGGCAGCAGAAGCCGCAACCGAAGAUCAAAUACCACGCCACUAUGGUGUCGAAUUGGAGGCCAUCGACGCAGCACCACGCCACCGCGGCGUCGCGCCACGCCACUGGAGCUGAGGAGGCCAGAGCUUCCACAGGCCACAAUCGAUCCGGGAGGGCCCAAGCACGACGGUGAAACGCAUCCGCCGUAGCAUGCCGCCUGUCAAUGGAGCGCGACGCCGCUGGAGCCGUGCAGCCACCGAACCUUCUCACGGACCGCAGCAUAAGAACCCCCGCUGCAGUAAAAGGUAGCCGGACGCCGGUGAAGCCCUCGCCGCCGCCAAACCAACACCGAGAGAAAAGACUGAGGAAGGGCUAUAGAACCGAAGGGACGCCGUAUCUGCCAAAGCAGACGUCGGAUCGGCCGGCAGGACGCCGGAUCUGGCCGGAGAGUGCCGUCGCCGCCGCGAUGCCGCGCAACCAGGAGGGCCAACGACCUCCAGCGAGCUUCCUGCCGCCUGCAGCGGCCGCCGAGAAAAAGGCCCCGCCGCCGCCUGCACCGUGCGGGCUUUGCCCGCCGGCGUCCACCGGCUCGCCGCCCGUGUCGCCCCUGCCGAGGGACGCGGGGGCUUUUUUUCUCUCCAUAUGUUGUCCUGUCCAUGUGACGUGCUUAGACGACAAAUCCUAAUUUAGGUCUAGCGGGUUAAACCUUUUCUUAUCAAACGGCCAAAUUUAUUGAUGAGUAAACAUGGUACUACUACAUCAGAUCAUACAAUCUGCAUGAAGGAACAACAAGACCUUUAUUAAAAACAUAAGUGGUGUCAAAAAUCUAUAGCAGAGAAGCUCGACAUUCUAGCAGAGCAGAACAGAACAGAGCCCUCUGUCUGAAGGUGCUAGCUAGUUCUGUCCAGCCAACACACACUGCAAAAACAGAGAGAUUUUAGAUAAUUGGCGUCAUGUCAUGCAAGGCAUAAACCAGACGGAUUUGGGCCAGUCCUGAUCCAGUUCCAGCUCGUUCAACACCAAAUCCUUGUGGUGGUCCUCGGUGGGAAAGGUGAUAACGCCGGCGGCCAGGUGGAACACCCAGACGCCACGCCAGUCACCGCCUAGCGCGAGGAGGCCACAGAGCGGGAUGUUGGUGAAGUAGACGGCAUCAGCUCUGAGCCACGGCGACGCGAUGCGGACCGGCACCGACAGCGACUGGCUCCGGUCGCCGAUGAGGAACGCGCGGUCACCGCCGACGCUCGCUGUCGCCGCCCACGACGCCGACGCCUCGUCGUAGCGCAUGACGAGCAUUGCUGGGCGGUGGUAGCGGUUGCUGGAGCUGACGCCGUCGCCCUCGCUGGUGCUCCACACCACGUGCAGCCCGCCGUCGCCGGAGAAGGCGAGGUGGUAGCCGCGGCGGCGGUGCGCGACCUGGCGAGGCAGGUCGGGGCACGCGAACGACGCGAACGGCACCGGCGCCGGGCACUGCGCGGCCAUGUCGGCCACCCACACCUGGCCGUGCGUGUCCAUGUAGUAGAACUUGCCGCCGUGGUACGCCACGUCUAGCUCGCGCCUGACGGCACGCUCCGCCUUGGGGAUCUCGCUGAGCAGCCGCCAGAUGCCGUCGUCGUCGUUGAUGCCGGCCCUGGCGUAGAACACGGUCCUGCCGCCGAGCGACGCGAAGGCGGCGGCGUGGGCGCUGGCGCUGGGGCGCGGCGCGAAGGCCAACUUCUGGACUAUCAAGUCCAGUUCACGCUCCACGACCGCCGGGGAGGAAUCCGGGAUCCAGCAGGGCGUCGGCGGGAGAUCGACGCGCGCGCCGGUGAUGGGGUUGACGAGGUAGAUCCGGAUGUGCUUCGGCUCGGGGACCACGGUGACGAGGGCGAGCCAGCCGGCGUUGGAGCCGACGCAGCGGGCCGGCAAGCCGCCCGGAGGCGUCCACUGGAAGGAGUUGAGGGUCGGCGCCGAGAGCACGGUGAAGGAGUCGCUGCAGCCCUCGGUGCGCGGGAUGACCGCCCAUGGCGUCGGCAUCGCCGGGUACUCGAUGGCGGCUCUCCAGGUGCGGCAGACGGCGCGGAAGCAUAUUCGGCCGGGGACGGCGAGGAGCGUGCCGAUGUAGUUCAGGAGAUCGCCGGGCAGGCCAGAUGACCAAUCCACCUCCUGCUGCGCCUCCAUCGCGAUCUCGUAAUUCAGGAGAUCGCCUUGGCUUUCCCUACAUCGAUCGAUCUGAGUAAUAAAUACUCCACGCAUUAAUUGUGAAACAGGAAACCGGCCUGGAGAUAUACUCGGCUUACGCUGACCGAGUCCAUAUUGUGCACGGACGCGCGCAUUGAGUUCCCGCCGCUGCCCUUCCUGCGGCUCGUCCCCAAGACGAAGGAUCUCGAGCUGAUGCUGGACAUCGCCAUCCAGAAGGUGGCAUUCGCGCCGCGCCCCAGCGCGGACGACUACGCCGCCGUCUGCGUCUGCCGCGGCACCAAGGUCGUGCUGCACACCGCGGCGCGCCACGGCCGGCAUUGGCGCGCGCUCCCCGUGCUCCCGGGCGGCGGGGACGUCUGGCGCGAGCGGGACGUGGCCUACCGCGACGGCAAGUUCUACUACAUGGACACGGCCGGGCGGCCAGGUGUGGGCGGCCGACGUCGCGGUGGAGCCGUCUCCUUCCCCGGCGCCGGUGGCCGUGUUCCUAUGUGCCAAGUAAGGACGGAGGACAAGAAACCGGGGCGCUCAAUGCUUUUGGCGAACAGCCUCAGCAGAGUUGACGGCCUUUCUUGGCGUUUGCUCUGAAGCUCCAACUUAUUUGCCCAUUGGGCGGUGAACUUGCUACACAUCUUCGUGAGUUCUGCUUGCUACCUGUAACAGUUUAUCAAGGACGAGCUUCUUCAGCUCACAGGGGAGAUCUCAGCAUUCGUCCAAGCGUCGUGCUUGAUGCCGACCACAUUCAUGAUGCGUGCAAGUACACCACAACUAGCUCCCCUCUUAACUUUUAUGCACCCACGAAUGAGGUUGUACUGUGGCAGCUUCUGAGACAAUUGCGGUCUGCUCUCUGGAUGGACAAGCCUGACGAUGCUGAAGAUUAUGUUAAUGUCACCCUCUUUUUUACAACAAUGGUCAAAUUGAACUGCAUUGAAGUACUUCCCAACUAGGGCCCUAUUCCCAACUGACGAGAUGACAAUGAAGAUGGAUUGUAUCUCCAUAAUGAUAGCACCACAUAGCAAUAUAAGUAGGACACUAUAAUAUCGGCUCUAUUACUAUAGUUCAAAAGGCCCUUUUGAUCAGCUCGGGAAAAUAGAACGAGAGCCGUAAAGGUGUAACAAGCUUGGGGAACCAAUCGUUUAGUCGGUUGCCCUUUUCUCCCAUAUUGCCUCCAAUCUUGGUGCAGCAGUAGUCAUAGACAAUUCGGAGCUGGAGCUCAGCUAGCUUGUAAGAAUUGUUUUUCCAAGAAAACAUGAAUUAGUUGAUGAGGUGGCAUGGUUGAAUUUAUAGACUAAUGCAAAAUCUAAAUGAAUACAUGUGCAUGGUUUAGAAAAAAAGACAUGUAUGAUUUGAUGAGGUGGCAUGGUUUGCAUGGUGAUAUCUGACAUGGUGCGCCUAAUGAGGUAGCAUGGUUGCAUGUUGAGAAGAUAGCUAGUGGAAACUCCAAUUUAGAUAUAAAAAAUUAUUCUUGGUGCAAACUGAGUUUCGCAUUUAGAAAGAAAAUAAUAGAAAAAGACCGUAAGCAAAACCCUUACAGCCCGUUUGGUAACCAUCCUUUCAUUUCAUUUGGUAGAAAUGAAAUGAAAUCCAAUUUUUGGUAGAAUUUCAUUUGGUUGAAUUUGAAUUCAUUUUUAAAAAUCAUGUUUGUCUACCACAUGGAUUUGUAGACUGAGAGACAAUUCCAGAAAAAUGAUGGUUUUUGACAGAAAUUGGGAUCAGUUAUACUACAAUUCCAUAAAAUUUGAGAUUGAAUUUCCGUGACCAAUUCCGUGCCAACCAAACAAGUUGGUUUCUGAAAUUCUAAAUGAAUUCCUGAAUUCUAAGCUCAAAUGAUGGGUACCAAACGAGUUGUUAGACUCCAUCCACCGCACUAACAUGUGUUUCACAUUUUCAAAUUGAACAUAAAAAAAAUUAAAAAUUCAUUUUAUAAAUAUUUAUUUAUUUUUGAUGAAACGCAACAGCAUUGCUUUCCAUUAAUUAAUAUCAAAGAGAAACAAGACCAAGAGGCCGGAGGCUACAAGAAGAUGCGGGAGGAAAAGAAAGCUAAAACCUAGAAAAACUAAAAGGACUAAGAAACUCAAAGUCUUGUACGUAAUCACCUGUAUUGCUCCAUCCGUAGGUUGCUGCCCAAGUCACUACCAGCAUUUUUUAAGAUCCUCACAUCACGCGCAAAUAUACGGUGGUUCUUUUUAUUCAUUAAAGCGCAAGACUACUCUCAAGAUGAAGGAAGCCACGUUCGUAUGCAACCAAAGAGAAGUGGCAGCCAAAAGACCCCUUAUCACCAUGCAUGCAUGCAUGCAUCCAAAGGCUAUAAAAAAAGCCUAGGACCUAUAAAAGAGGUGCAUCAUGGACAUGGAGAAAGGUGAGGUAAAUAAUGCAUGGGAGCACUAUUUGAGCCAGCCAUGGUGCCUAUAUAAGGAGGCUCUUUGCAGCAUUGGAGGACACACAACCAUCGAGCACAACACAAGCCUUCAGAGCAACAAGUAGUUUAGGGCAGUUAGCCAGAAAACUAUCUGCUCUCUAGUAGUAGUAGUACCACUUCCCACUGUAAUAAAGCCUGUGUAAUCCAGGCAUUUGUAACAUAAGACUGGGAAGGUAGUAAAGUAACCCUUCGGGGGUUCCCGAAAGGAAAAACCGUAUGUAAGCUAUAUUGUGAAAUGAAGUAGUUUAGUUUUUUUCUCGGUCUUUUUAGCAUGUUUAUACGGGUGGGUGCUUAUGCUAGAUAUCCUAUAGGAGAAACCUCUGCGUGGAGUUCUCUGUUAAGCCGUGUGUAUGGCGUUGAAAUGAACUAAAGACGCUUACGGAAAUAAACUUAGCUACUCCUGAAGCAAUAUAGUAAUAAAUACGGUGAGUACUGAGUAGGAUUAUUACAUCACUGCAAAAACCGUCGGUAGUUCCGUUGGCCUCACCAGCCUUAAAAGAUCCUGCAAAAAGAUAAUCAUAAUAUUAAAAUAUUUAAUUUACCAUAUAACCUAAUAUUAGCCGAAAUAAUUUGAAUAUUAACGUAUCUAAUAUUUAUUAAUAUUGCAUAUUUUUGGUAUCAGAGCGAGGUUGUAAUCAUUGAAAGAUUAAAGUAUCUAGACUUAGAAGUUAGCGCAGGUAAAAUUAUACAUACUAAAGAAAAUAUUGAUAUAAGGUGCAGAGUAAAUCCCUCUGAAGAACAUAUUUGGCAUUCUACUCAUAGUCAGCUAAAUACAGUUGUUCAUUUAAUAUAUAACUUCUUUAUAUCUUGGGAAAAAAGGCAAGAUAAUCUAGACAAAAAAAUUGAUAAUAUACUUAAAGAAUACCAAAAACUUGCAGAAAAAUACUAUAGUUUGAAUAAUAAAAUUGAUAUUGUUCUGCAUAAGCUAGAAGAAGCCAAAACAAAACAAAGUAUAGUUUGUAAGAAUAACGAUUACAUUAAAGAAAAAGUGUUAUCCAUUGGAAAAAGCAUAGGGCACUGUCUAAAUAAAAAUAAAGAUUCUGUACCGAGCACUGAAACAAGACAAGAUAUAACUGUAAUUAAAAGACUAGUACAAGAAGUAAAAACUUUGAUCCUCCCGUAAUUUGUAUGACUGAAUAUAGCCAAGCAUUAAAAAAAGUAGAAAAAUAUUUAACGCCGUCAAUUGGCUUUUCUGACCACGAUUCUCCAAAGGAAGACUCAAAAAUAAUAAUAAGACAAAACAAUACAAUCCUGCAGUUAUUAAUUCAGAUUUUAGAUAAGCUAAAUAGUGAACAAAGUAACAAAGAUAUUGUGUUAGCAUCAUCUGAAAUAAUUGCAUCACCAAGGAAUAUUAAUUCAGAAAAAUGGACUUAUCUAAAAGCCUCAUUAGAAGAGACAGAAACCUCCAAUUAAUAAGACAAGAAUCAAAGCCGCUAACAAUGAUGCAUAGGAUGUCAUGCAGCAAGGCUGAUGAUAUCGAUAGUUUAGAAGAAGUUAUAGACUUAGAAAAAGAUCCAGAAAGGUAUCAAAAAGAUACAUUGAGAAAAAUAAAACCACAGCAGGUAUACCACAUGGGUUUGUUUGAAGGGAGAGGUGGAUUAUAUAGAAUUUCCAGAGAAGUAGAGUUAAGUGUGUUAACACAUCCAGUAGAAUUAAGAAUUGUGAGUAAGAAUAUUAAAAAUGAACUCAAAUAUUGUGGGUAUAAAUAUAUUCAUCAAGGUAUGUAUAUCAUAGGAGUCAAAGGAAUGACAAGAAAGAAAUUAGGAGCAAAGGUGUUAAUAACAUUAUUUGACAAAAGAUGGGGAUCAGUAGAUAAAGCCUCAUUAGGCUUUAUGGAAGGAGAUAUGAAUGAAAACAAAUUAAUAACCUAUAUAGCUCCAGACUUAAUGAUGCAUGUGAAGGAAUUUAUCGAUAAGAUGAGUCUUGGGUUCCAAACUAAAGGUUAUGAAGAAUUUAAAGGUACAAAUCUAUUAGUAAGUAUAGAGUUUAUAGGAAGACUAACUAAUAAAAGCAGUUCUAAAUAUAGAGUAAAUGUAGACGAUGUAAUUGAAAGCAUGCAAUCAAAAGGUAUAAAAUUCAUGAGUCCUCUUAAAAUCAGUUCUGAAGAAAGAGCUGGAGAAGAGUGGAAAAUAAGCGAGCUAAUUGAAAAGAAGGAAUUAAAGCAACCUAAUAACUGCAUAAGUUACCAAAACUGCGAAGGAACCAGCAGCAUUAGAUUCACAAAUUAUAAAACUGCAACCAUAGAUGAUACCGAAUCUUUUGCUUCUGAAUCAGAGUUUAAUGAAAAUCAAAAUAGUGGCGUGACUGAAUACAUGGAAAAAGCAGAUUUAGACGAUGAAAUAAUUCAUUACGAAGGAAAAUUGAAACAUAUAGAAUGGGAAUAUAAUAAUUCUAUGACAAAAGAUUGGCUCUAAGAUAAGAGAAAAAGAAUUGUUUUUCAUUAGAGAGAUUGCAAGACUAAAAAGAUUAAGAAAUGAGAAAAAGCCUGUCAUUGGUAGUUCAAUCAAUCUAAAUAAGAACAUAACGAUAGAAGAAAAUAAGGUUGGUAGUAGUAAAGCAAAUAAUACAGACGAGAGCCAUAAAAAAUAAAGAUGUAGGUGAAGAGGAGCAGUGGAAAUAAAUAAUAAAAUACUAACUGAAAGUUAUGAAGAAGAAGAAGAAUUAAUAAAAGAUAUGCUUAAAGAAGAUGAAGUUUUUGAUGGAUCUGAAGAAAAUAGUGACUUUAUAAACUCUCUAGAUGAUGUAGGAAUACACAAUUUAGAAAAUGCAAUGGAAUCUAUGAAAGUAGAAAUGAAUAACAAAAGAAGAAGGACAUACGGUGAUACUUCAGUAAAAAGAGAAGGAGAGAGAGAAAGACCAAGAAGAGCAGCCGGAACAUGGCCUCCAGAAAAAGAUGAUUUCCAACCAACAUACAUCCCUGAACAAUAUAGAUAUAUGGGUACUAAAAGAAGAGAUUUUGAAAAACCAGUACAAUUUCAAAAUUAUAAGAAUGAGGGUGCAAUAUUAAAUCUAACAGCCCAUGACCCAAUAGACUGACCUAAUAUAAUUAGCAUAUGGAAAGGUUUAAUAGUUCAAAAAUAUAUACAAAAUCAGCAUAGCAUAGGCAAUAAGGUGGAAGAUAUGAUAACCUAUCUUAAAACCUUUUUAGGAGAAUCUGUAAAAGUUUUAUGAGAACAAUGGGUAGAAACAUUUCCUAGUCAAUAUGAAGAAUUAAAAGCAGCUGGAAGUAAUCCCCAUAACUUCGCUAAUAUUAUAUCACUUAUAGUCAUAGCAGAAGAUCCAGAUUUAGGAGAUACCACAUUGCAGAAUGGGAAGUUGCGAGAAAUAGAAAAAUUAACGUUAACAAGUUGGAAAGGUAUAAAAGAAUUCUCUUAGCAUUAUUUAUAUAAUGCUACCACCGCUAAACAAUGUUUUAAUAAAGGGGUAGUAGAAAGAUAUUUUAACAAAUUAUCUGACCCUUUAGGAUCUAUAAUAUUUGAGGAAUAUAAGAGACAAACAGAGGGUUCGGUUUCAAAUAUAUCUCAGGCCCUUAAUUUUGUUUUUAAGCAACUAAGAAAGAUAUGUAUGGAUAUACAAGCCCAAAGAUCUAUGAAAAAAGCAGACUACAAUUUUUGCAAUAAUAUUGUUCAAAUACCAUUAACAUAUGGAGAAAAUAGGCAUAAAAAUAAAAAAUAUUACAAACCCCAGAGGAGAGAUAAUAGGAACUUUAGGACAAAGAAAAGAUAUUUUCUAAGAAGAUCUGAUAAUAGAGCUCCUUAUCUACAUAAGAGAAAUGUAAGAAGAUAUGAUCCUAGAAAAACUUAUGAUAAAACAUGUGGGUGUUUUAUAUGUAAUUCACCAGAUCACCUAAGUAAAACUUGUCCUAAUAAAGAUCAGAAAAGGUACUCUAGUAAAUAUGAAGAGCAAGAAAGAGUGUUAAUUAUAGAUAGUGUUAAUGAAAAUAUCCUAGUAUGCGAUGAAGAAAUAAAAGAUGAUGAGUCGAUAUACUCUAUCAUAGAAACAGAUGAAGUAGAAAAUGAUACUUUAGAAGAAGAAUCAAGUGAAGAUGAAAUAGAUCUAAUAGAUGAUUUAGCUGGUUUAAAAAUUGAAAUGAUGAAUCAAGUAGAUUGUGAACACGAUUGGAUUAGAGGUAAAGGAGAUUAUAAUAUAAAAUGUGUGUUUUGUAUAUACUAUCCAAGCCAAGAAAAUAGGUCUACAUGUAGUUUAUGCUUAAGACAAGCUUGUGCCUCUUGUUUAAAGGCUAGAAAUCAAGCCCGGAGACAAGAAAUAGUUUGUGAACCAGAAGACCAAAUCCUAUUUAGUAGAGUUAGAAAUUUAGAGAAUAGAAUAAAUAAACUAGAAGCAGAUCUAGAAGAGGUAAAAUAUAAUUUAGAAAAUAGUAGUGGUAAUCAAUAUCAAGAGGAUAAUAUGGUCAAAAAUACUGAAUUAAAGGAUCAAAUGGUGACAGUAAAAGAAAGGAAAGGAGACAGGCUUAUCCAACUAAAGGACGCCAUUACUAAUUUUGGAAACGAAUAUAUAGUACGUUUACCAUUUAAGGAGGUUCUGGGAAUAAGAAUCCCAGUCAAAAUAGUAUUAAAACCAAAUAUUUCCUAUAAAAUAUUAGCACUAAUAGACACGGGGUGCACAAAGAUCAUCAUUCAUGACAAGUAUUUUGCGAGAUGCUCUGAAAUAGUUAAAACUAUAGACAACGAUAAAGCUGAAGUCUCCACAGACAUGUCAGGAAUACAAAAGAUUCACAAUAUUGAAUCUUACAUAAAUGGAACAAAAUAUAUUAUAGAUGAAAUUACAAUUAGAGAUUUGUCAGUAAUAAAGGAUGACAUGAUACUGGGUUUAAGAUUUUUACAACAAUCCUUACAAACCACUAUUAUACAUGAAGAAGGAGUUACAUUCAUCCCAUAUCAAGAUAACGUUCCAUACAUAUCUAAGAUUAUAAGACAGAGAAAAUCCAUACAAAAUGCAGAAAUAUCUAAUAUAGAUGAAGAAUAUAGUGCCGAGGAAGACUCUCUUGAAAUCUGCAAAGAAGAAGAGCUUAGUAAUGCCAUAGAAGAAUACCAUAUAGAAAAUACAUGUACCGAAUGUAUAGGUUUACAAUCAUUCUCACCAAAUUGGUAUAGAGAUAUAAAAACCAAGAAAGAUAUAGACAACAUAGUGCAAAAAUUAGAAGACAUACAAAUCAUUGGAGAAAGACCGAUGAAACAUUGGGAUAAGAACUCCAUAGUUUGCAAGAUAAAUAUUAUCAACCCUGAUUACAUAAUCAAGUCAGGACCAAUAGAAGCUACUCCUAAGGAUAUAGAAGAAUUCAAAAUGCAUAUUGAAGAGUUAUUGAAAUUAAAAGCCAUCAGGGAAAGCAGAAGCCCUCAUAGGUCAGUUGCCUUUAUAGUUAGGAAUCACGCUGAGGAAGUCAGGGGAAAAUCUAGAAUGGUUAUUAAUUACAAGAGACUUAAUGAUAAUACAAUAGACGAUGCAUUCAAUAUACCCAAUAAGCAAGAAUGGAUUAAUAGAAUACAAGGAAGCAAAUAUUUUUCUAAGUUUGAUCUAAAGGCCGGGUUUUGACAAGUAAAAAUGGCAAAGGAAUCUAUUCCUUGGACAGCAUUUACAUGCCCUCAAGGUCAUUAUGAAUGGCUGGUAAUGCCCUUAGGAUUAAAAAAUGCGCCUGCAUUAUUUCAAAGGAAGAUGCAAAAUAUAGUUAAUGAGAAUCAAGCAUUUAUAUUAGUAUAUGUAGAUGAUUUAUUGGUUUUCUCAAAAUCAUACAAGGAGCAUAUUGCUCACCUUGAAGUCUUCUUUAGAAAGGUAGAACAAAACGGCCUAAUCCUAUCUAAAAAGAAAAUGAAGAUUUGUAAAGAGAAAAUAAAUUUUCUCGGGCACGAGAUAGAAGAAGGAAAAAUACAUCUGCAAGAGCAUAUUGCUAAGAAAAUUUUACAAUUUCCUGAUUCUAUGAAUGACAAAAAGGUCUUACAACAAUUCUUAGGAAUUGUAAAUUAUGCGAGAAAUUAUAUAGAUAAUCUAGCAAAACUAGCUGGACCAUUAUAUGCUAAAUUAAGAAAGAAUGGGCAAAGGUAUUUUAAUUCUGAAGACAUAAAGUUAGUCAAGGCCACAAAAGAAAAGGUCAAAAAUUUGAAACCCUUAGAAUUGCCAUUAGAAGAUUAUUACUUUAUAAUCGAAACCGAUGCAUCUAAAGUAGGUUGGGGUUCUAUAUUAAAGCAAAAACCUAAUAAGUACUCUCCAAAGGCAGAAGAAAAGAUAUGUAGGUAUGCCUCAGGAAGUUGUAAAUUAAAAACAGUAAAUAAUAUUGAUAGAGAAAUCCUCGCGGUAGUCCAUGCAAUAAACGCGUUUAGGCUAUACUUGGGAUUUAAAGAAUUUACAGUACGCACUGAUUGUGAAGCAAUAUGUAGAUACUAUAAUCAAAUCAAUAGUAAGAAAAGUUCUACUAGAAGAUGGGUUUUAUUUGAAGAUAUCAUAACUGGAAAUGGAUAUAAAGUUGUUUUUAAGCAUAUUAAGGGAAAAGAUAAUUGUUUACCUGACAUAUUCUCCCGUUCAUCAAUCUUGCAGGAAUGAAGCGUGGGUUGCUUCCCAAUGGGGUGGAAGUAUUUACCUUUGGAAAUGAAAACACUCUGAAAAUAUUUCCCCCGAAUACAUUUAAAUUUAAACCUAAGGGACAUAUUGCCCUCGAUGAAAUUCAAGAAUGCAUACUUGACAAUUUCUGGUUCCAAUAUAAUAAUAAAAGAGAAGAAAAAGGCUAUAUGCUAUCAAUUCUGAAUAGUCUAGCCAAAUAUUUCAAUAUGAUGAACAAGAAGUUACCAUAUCAGCAAAUAUUGCAGUGCAAGAAUAUAAGCCAUUAUAUGUACUAUUUGAUGGAAUCAAACCUGGAAUAUAUAUGACCUUUGAAGAAAUAAUAAAAGAAAAGUUAGACGCAAGGAAAGGGAAAGAGGACAUAACAUGAAAGAAAUAUGUUGAUGUCAAUGAAGAAUCUCCUAAAUAUCAAACAUACAAAAACUGCCUAAUAAAAGGAGUGGAUCCUUUAGAUUCUGAAUCUAUAUUAAGUCUGGAGCUAUAUAAUCUAGACAUUUUUUGUCUAGUAUAUAGCUCCAGACUUAAUGAUGCCUAUUUUUUGUCUAGAUUAUCUUGCCUUUUUCCCCAAGAUAUAAAGAAAUUAUAUAUUAAAUCAACAACUGUAUUUAGCUGACUAUAAGUAGAAUGCCAAAUAUGCUCUUCAGAGGGAUUUACUCUGCACCUUAUAUCAAUAUUUUCUUUAGUAUGUAUAACUUUACCUGCGCUAACUUCUAAGUCUAGAUACUUUAAUCUUUCAAUGAUUACAACCUCGCUCUGAUACCACAAAUAUGCAAUAUUAAUAAAUAUUAGAUACGUUAAUAUUCAAAUUAUUUCGGCUAAUAUUAGGUUAUAUGGUAAAUUAAAUAUUUUAAUAUUAUGAUUAUCUUUUUGCAGGAUCUUUUAAGGCUGGUGAGGCCAACGGAACUAUCGACGGUUUUUGCAGUGAUGUAAUAAUCAUAUUCAGUACUCACCGUAUUUAUUACUAUAUUGUUUCAGGAGUAGCUAAGUUUAUUUCCCUAAGCGUCUUUAGUCAGGUUUAUAUGGGUGAUUUCUUAUCGUCUUCCCAGGCAGCUCCACCCGAAGGGAACACUUCUCUACGGUUAGAAGGUUCUCAUUUCAACGCCAUACACACGGCUUAACAGAGAACUACACGCAGAGGUUUCUCCUAUAGGAUAUCUAGCAUAAGCACCCACCCGUAUAAACAUGCUAAAAGGACCGAGGGGAAAACUAAACUACUUCAUUUCACAAUAUAGCUUACAUACGGUUUUUCCUUUCGGGAACCCCCGAAGGGUUCACACAAAGAUAAAGAAAUUACCUUACUACCUUCCCAGUCUUAUGUUACAAAUGCCUGAAUUACACAGGCUUUAUUACAGUGGGAAGUGGUACUACUACUACUACAAGAGAGCAGAUAGUUUUCUGGCUAACUGCCCUAAACUACUUGCUGCUCUGAAGGCUUGUGUUGUGCUCGAUGGUUGUGUGUCCUCCAAUGCUGCAAAGAGCCUCCUUAUAUAGGCACCAUGGCUGGCUCAAAUAGUGCUCCCAUGCAUUAUUUACCUCACCUUUCUCCAUGUCCAUGAUGCACCUCCUUUAUAGGUCCUAGGCUUCUUUUAUAGCCUUUGGAUGCAUGCAUGCAUGGUGAUAAGGGGUCUUUUGGCUGCCAGUUCUCUUUGGUUGCAUACGAACGUGGCUUCCUUCAUCUUGGGAGAAGUCUUGCGCUUUAAUGAUAGUGUCUUCGACACACUGCAGCCUUAUUGUCUGCUUCCUUGACUAUUCUUCGUCUGCACACCAUAAAUCAUAGGAUCCCAUGCAUUUUUGAUUUUGUAUGCUGAUGAUGGGUCUUAUAUGCCUAAUACAUGCUAACGAUGGCUCUUAAGAUUUAAUAUUUUUCAUUAUUUUUAAUUAUUAUUUACCUUUUUUUAUUUUAUUUCACACACACACACUAGCUGAAAUGUCCGUGCGUUGCAACGGAACAACAAAAUAAAUGAUACAUUCAAAAACAUGCAUCAAAACCUCUCUUUGCUCUUCUUUAGCGAUCACCAAAUAUCCCGUUAAAAAAGGUUUCUUCUGAAGAUUUGUGUCUAUAUACUCUAGUCUCUCAAAAUAGAAGAAUACACUUCCUUCUGAAAAUUAUAUAACAUCACCCGGUCAAAAAAGUUUUGUGACAGAAUCACUUAAUUUUUUCAGUUCUCUCCACUAUCUCACUUCACCCGUUAAACACAAAGAGUUAGAAGGGGCAACAAAUUUAUGUUUUGGCAGCUGAAUGUUCGUUUAUGAGUAUAGAUAUUUGAUUAUUUUGUUGUGUUGCUUAUUCUGAUUUUGCUGGUUUUCUGAAGGAGCUUAUCAAUAUUAUAUUAAAUCAAGCCUAAUUAAUAAACUGGCAGUGCAUGUGUAAAUUUUUUCCAAUUAUUUGCUCGAGUUGUUCGACGCAUCUGGCUUGUGGGCAGUUCCGAUGACUUGACGUCGUUGGCCUCUCGGCUAUCCGUCUGCUCGUAGUCCUGUCUCUGCAGGGUGGGUAGAGUCCGCCUUAUAUGGCCAGCAAGUAUUAAAUGUGGUAACUUACCCGCAGAUAUCCGACUCAAAGAGGUAGGAUAUGGGUUGACGUUUACGCCCAUGGUAUACCCGAUGGCUCGUCCGAUUAGUCAUGGGUAGAGUAUGGGUAUAGGUUUAUAUCCAUGUAUAUCCGAUGGGUCGCCCAUUUAAUAUUUAAUUAAAUACAUAUUAUUUUAUUAUAUAAUAUGUGGACUCUUUGAUGCAAUCAGGAUUAAGGGAUGAACCCUGCUGUAAAAAUAAAAAUAAAAACCAAGUGCAAAUUGGCCCAGUAGCCCAUGACUCGAUGACCCAUCAAUUUGGUAUGUUUGGCCAUCUCUCUCGCUCAGUCAGGCUCACAGAAGAAAAGCAUCGAGGUGCAUUCUCCCAUCUCCCAUUCUACACUUGGCCAUCAUCUCUCGUUCUCUCUCUACUAUGCCCUAGGCGCCGCCAUCAUUCUCUCUCGCAGUCUGUCUCAUUAGCUUUUUCUAACAAUUCGCCAUCUCCUCGUGUAAUUUAGCCCUAAGAGGAGACGGUCGUGGCAGGGAAACGGAAGAGGGGACCAGCCGUCGCCGCACCUGGGAGACAGAGGAGACGCCCGUGGCUUUGAUUCCUUGCCCGAUGAGUGCCCGAUCGGGUCUCAUCUUCCGACCCCCGUAGUGUUUCGGCGGAGCGAUAUUUUUCUCGUCAGAUUCGGAGUUGUUGCCCGACUCUUGUAACGAUCCCGUUGGCGAUGGAUUCCCUCGCGGACUUCCAGUCCAAGUAACGGGCCUAAUAUACAUGCAAUUUUGGGGGGUGCAUAAUUUUUUUGAAAAGUUUGACAGAAGACGGUGAAGAGAACGGUCCGUAUUUUUUAGAUAGAUAUAGAUAGGGCACAGCACCUCUCGACGUUUCAGGGUUGGCAACUUUUCGAGUAGGUAUUAUAUUCUUGCUGGACUGGACCGGGACGAAAUGAAUAAUAUCGAAUGACAUCCAUGCAACACUUGCUUUGCUUGUAGAUGGCGGUUAGUUUGAUAAUGCUGUAGCAGGAGCAAGCUGCAGGCCAGCUAGCUAGCGAAGAACUGAUGGUCACGGACACAAUGGAAUCACCCUGACUCUCUAAUCUUCCCAUCUUUUAAAGCCGAGCUGUCUCAAUAUAAUCCUGGUUGUAGCCAGUAUUUUCCCGGUAACGGUCCACAAAAUUAAGAGACGACUAAAUAACACGUAUAAAGUCAAAUCUGUACCGACGAUCAAUCAUCUUGUUUGAUCACAUCUGUAUACAUGUAGUAAAGUAAAGUAUACAUGGUUUCCUUCAAUUUGAGAUCUUAAUUUAACCUCUUCCCUACCGCUGCCGGAGAUACUCCAUGGCCUUGUCUAACGUGGGCCGAAACCGCUCAACAUCAAGCCUCACAUCCUGCUUACCCAGAUAAUACUCGGCCACCUUAUCCCACCCACUCCGAUGCACAGCUUCAGGAUCCUUAAUCACCAAAUGCUCGGGGCCCAACAUCUCCAGCAGGCUACUCUCCUGGGCCGAAACGCUGUACUCGAGGUACUCCAGGCCCAUGUCCUUAACGGGCUCCCCGAAGUCCGUCCUGGCCAGCCCCUCCAUCUUCCCGUACGGCACCACCUGGAUCACCACGCCGCCGGGCGGCAGGAACGCCGCGUUCGUCAGCCCCGCCCCGUGCACUCCCAUGAGCACGUCGAAGGAGUUCACGGACUUGGCGAGGUCGGAGAUCCGGACGUCGAAGCGCGGGUCGGAGAUGGUGACGGCGAAGCCGGCGGAUUCGGCGGCGGCGACGAUCUCGGGUACGUUCAGGAGCUUCCGGUAGUGGGAUCUGUGGAUCAGCAUCAGCCUUGGCUUCUGAUUGUCGUCGUUGGAUCCGGUGGCGCCGAGGCUGAUUUUGGUUGGGGAAUUGCGGGGCAGGGAGUAUGUCUCGCGGAGGAAGGCGGUGAAAUCGGGCAUGGAGAGGGGAUUGUUUUUCCCGGCGGCGAUGUCGAACUCCUUGGUGAGGCGGAGGCCGACGGAGACAUGGCGGAAGCAGCGGGUCUGGUUGUCUUUGUCGAGGUCGACGGCGUCGUACUUGGAGAGGCGGCGGACCACGGCGCCGUACUUGGCGAGCCACCAGGGCUGGAUGUUGCUGACGAGGAAGAGCACCUCGCCGCCGUACCGCCGGGACGCGACGAAGAGUGGCACCAGGGCGUCGCUGAAGUCGUGGAAGUAGUUCCCCGUGAGCCCGCCGAGCGCGAAGACGAUGGCCGGGACCUCGUGGGUGACCGUGCACGCCGGCGCGGCCGAGGCCUCGUCCGCCGAGGCGAGCUGCGUCACGGUAACCUCGCGGAUGUCGGUCAUGGUGCGGCGGGAGUAGGGCCGGAUCUUCCAUUGCUGACGGCGCGAUGUUGUUUCCUGGCGGCUGGAAGGGAGAAGGGUUACAGAGAGGGCGCUGCCGUUGAUCCGGACGUCACCGGUGACUUCGCAGGUGUCGGAGAAAGGCCCGUCCCUGUUGCACACCACCUUGGCUUCCUCUGUUUUUGUUCAACAUCAAAAACAGAGUUUUAGAACUUCAAACUUCCAUUUACCAUGGUCAAUUUCAUUGUCAGGAAUCUAUGGAUUUUUUGGUUGUUGUUGAUCAAGGGUUGAUAAAAUCGAACUUUUUGCGGUGAUUUUUGUUUCUAUAAUAGAGUCAAUUAAUUGAUAUGUUUCGCGCCAAUGAUUUUAGACUGAAAAUUGUACUAUUACAGUAUUAUUUUUGUUUUCACAAGGCUAAAAGAGGAAACACAGGAAUGUGGUGCGUCCAAAUACACUGGCCACAACUCACAAGACGUGUGCAAAUCGAAUCGAAUCAAAACGUAAUAACAAUCCAGCCGAACUGGAACUAACAUAUGGAAUCAUCACAGCUUGUUUAAUCAGGGGAACAAAAUUCGGACAUACCAGACAGUUGGACAUCUCUGUCGUCUCUUUUCGUCCGGGGCUCCUCCGUUGCCGUCACCGUCGCGGCGGAGUCUUCGUCUUUCGUCCGCCAUGUCUCCUCCUCUGCAUUUAGAAAACACAACAUCGCCCUUUUGGUCAUCCCUCCUUUCACAACGCAGAGAUCUUUCAGAAAUGUAAGCUGUCUGAAGCAUUUCACAACUGUAUGUUGUUUAAUUACCCUGUCCCUGCUGCUUCUCAUCCUGGUCUUGAUUGCCAGAAGCUUCAGGUUUCAUCUGCUCCUUCUUCUCCUCGCCUGUUUCGCCGGGAGCUUCGGUCGCCGCCGACUUCCGGUGCUCGGCGGCAGUAACCCGCGGCGCCAUCUUCGCGACAGCUGCAUGGUUAAGCUAGUAAUUAAUUGAUUUGAAGCGAUCAACUCGAUCGGUCGGCCAUGGACACAGUAAAAAGCAGAAAAGAAAAGCAAAAGCAUGUACUAUCUCCAUGGAACAACCAACCAAUGGAACAGUAAAGCGAUGUAAGUAGAAGAAGGCCUGGUGUGCAAGGAAGGAAUCAAAGUAAAGAAAGCAAGGGAGACGAGGAUGUGAUGAUUGAUUAGUUAGAUACCGUUGGGGGAGGUGGUGGUGCUGAUGGCGGCGAAGCGCUGCGGCUGGGAGAGGACGACGUAGGUGAGGAGCACGAGGAGGAAGCCGGCGACGAAGCUCAGGUUCAGGUACCUCUGCGCCCACCCCUUCAUCGCCGCCUUCCCCGGCUUCGCCUCGCUCCCCAUCGCUCGAUCUCCUUCUCUUCCUCUUCUCCCUCUCUGACUCUUAUGAUCACAGGAGUAUAUAUGGGUUGAAUUGAAUCAGUCUUGGAGGAUUGCAGCAGAGCUUUCUUUCUGCUGCUGCUGCUGCUGCUGCUGCUUCUUGUUCUUCUUCCUCCUGUUUCUGGUUUACAGAGAGAGGGACAGAAAAGGGAGAAGGAGGUGCUGUUGUUGCCGCGGGACGCUGGGCCUUUUUCGUCGUCCACAACAGCUACCGCUCGAGCUUUGGCGCCCUGCUCCUUUUUGUACCAAUCUCUGGACAGGGGUUGCCUCUCUUUUUUUCACUUCACACGCCACGAAUUCCAAAUCACCGGUUGACCGGUGACGAGGUCUGUUCGGCAAAUGAGCAGGGCACGUCGGUCGUUGAACAUGUCUCGAGUUGACGAACUUUUUACCUUGCUUCCAUGCGCGUACGCAGACGUUGUCUUUCUAAGGGACGAUGUUUCAUUGAUGGGGUUUGAUAAAAUUGAAAUGAAACUUUAGCAAAAUUUAAACAAUGGUUUGGUUUUGCCGAGAUUCUAAAACUAAAGCCAAAUUGGAACCGAAAAAAAUAUACUCCCUCCAUGCCAAUAUAAGUGGCGUGGAUUUGUAUAAGAAUUUAUGCAAAUCCAAAUCACUUAUUUUGAGACAUAAGGAGUACAAAGUUUUUGUGUUAAUAUUUUGUUUCUUCGCUCAAAUUUCACUUUAGAAUCACUGAAUUUCAGCGAUACAGCAGAGUGCCAUAAAUUCUUCUGUUAGGCCGGCGUGACACUGACAACAGCUUCCGUAGAUGAUUAAUUAAAGUCACAACUGCUGCCAAUUUUGUUCGGCCGGCGUCUGUCCUGCCUGAAUCGAGACGCGGGUCGAUUCAGACAUCCGUGGAGUUGGUGUUCAGAGUUCAGACAAUAAUAUUCAACACUUCCUCGAUGCGACGGUGGGAUCACCCAAGAUUGCAACUAGUAGCAGCAGUGCGUCAGUCUGGAGAUCGACGGAGCAUGUUGUUCUUCUGAACCUGGUAAAAAUCAGCGAAAAUUAUGAGAUUUUUCUUGUCUAUAGUACUACUAAUUAACUCAUAUUGACGAUUAGUUAGCCGAGUUCUUGUAAGGCUGUCCCAACUUACUCCCAACUGCUGCUGCUGCUAGUACUAAAUUGAACACGUGGUGCGACCUGGCGCCGUUGAGUAUGCUUUUGAGCUUCGCAACUGAACUGCUACAGCUCAGCUCUGCUCAUGGUUUAAUUCAUUCAUCCUAGGUUGGUACUAACUGGCUACUACUACUGCUAGAUGAACAGAGAUCAUCAUGAAAGCCAACCGAUGAUCUCUGAUUAGUUGUACCUUUCCAUCUAACGAAUCAAAUUAACUCCUCCAGACGUGAACGCCUCUAUGGCUCAUCGCCUCGCCUCGCAUGUUCCGCCCAUAAUGAUCCAAUCUGCACACGUCUUCGACAUGCAUUGUGGGUGGGUGGCAACUAUCCUGACCGUGACUGCACUGCAUAUAUGCACAAGUUCAGAAAUCAUCCGUCUUCCUUUUUCUUUCUUUUCUUGUGUUAUAAAAUCAAUUAUACGUGUAUAUUGAUGACGGUAGUGCAAUGAUAUAAAUUUCAGUUUAGACCUGAACAUAAAGUUGACCGGUUAAGCCGGGGAAAUCCUAACCAAGUAUAUUUGCGUGGUUUUAGCACUGUCACAAAGUGCAUAUCUGCAGGAAAGAAAGAAACCUGUGGUAUUCCUACCCAAUCACGGGCAGCACAUACGUAGCAGUUGCAAGUACACAUAACACAUGCAUCUCAUGAUUAUGAGCUUCCAAAAUCUGUCGUAAUCUCGCCAGAUUAAUGUUACCUGCUCCAGUACGUACUAGUCCUGAAUUAAUUAACUCUUUGCAAUCACAUAUUAGGAAAGGUGCUGCGCUUUGAUCUUACGUAUAGGGCAGCUAUAUAGCUCCAUCGAUUCGCUGGCACAUCCUUAAGCUUAAUUAGUCAAGUCCCUUCCGUCUUAUAUUAAUUUGGAUUUGGAUGGAAUCUUGAGCCGUGACACGUAUACGUACAUUCUGAUCAGUGUGUGGUCAGCACGACUUACAAUUUCAUGAUAUAUAUUCGAGUAUUUAUUUUCACGCCGACUAUUAUUCGAGUAUUUCUCGAUCACACCGACAGAUUGCCAGGCUGACUCUUAACACAUUGUGGUUCAGACAGACCCAUGGAAUCAACCGACAAGCUAAUGCAUGCGGAGUUACAGUAAGCCACAAGUGUCAAACUCCAGUAACGUAAUCCUAAAGUUAGGAGCCAGUACUCCCUCCGUUCCAUAAAAAUUGGCAUGGAUUGGAACUAGAGUUAGCUCAAAACCGUACCAAUCUUUAUGAAACGGAGGGAGUAAUAAUUAAUAAGUCAUAAGAUAAACCUUGAAACAACAAUGUAAAUAGGUUAUGCACGGGUAAAUUGUGGCACGAAUUUUAAACAGGAUAAACACCGUCACACAUUUACAAAGGGGAGACGGAAAAUCCUCUACUUCGUAUUAUAAUUCGCUCUUAAAUUAAUUAACAUCACUGGUUAGUUUCUUAGGGAUGAUGCAACUUGUAAAUAUUCUCUCUUUUUCUGAACACGUAGAUGUAGAUACACAACACGAUGCUUGGACGAGCAUAGGCAUACGUAGCUUAUGUUCGCAAGAGCCACGCACGAGAGAGCGUGACAAUGAAAUUAAUUAAGCAGAAGUCGGGCGCCGGUUCAUAAUCAGGGUGAACAUACAGAGAGCUCAGUAUAGCUUUGCUCGCUCCAUGUCAGAUUUUUAGAUGCAUGGACCACAUACUGUACACUACAUACGUAGGUAUCCCACACGUGGAACGAAAUGAAUUAGUAAUGCCGUAUAAUGGAGUUAUUAUUAGUAGUAGGACGGAUGAUGCACAUAUAUGUAAUAUGUAUGUCAUGAACUCAUGAUCGUGAUCGAUUGCAACGGCACAGCGACCCCAUCCCAAGGCAGUUCGAGUAACUAACCUGCUACUGCUUCGUGGAAUGUACGUACAAGAAGAAGAAUAUAUUCGUGCCGUUGUUCUGCGUGGCAAGAAGAUGCUUCUGCUUAAUUUUGCCGCCCGACCUUCCGGCUAGAUUGAUAUGCAGGAAUGUAGCUUGUCGUCCUCUGCGUUAACUAGCUAAGUCAACUCAGGAUAUAUGUUUUACGUUUUCAGCCUCGACGUCACGGCCAAAAAAAGUAUACUUUUGGAACAAGGACCUCCGAUUUUCAUCAAAGAAACGGCCGCAGUAGCACACUGUACAUAUAUAUAUAUAUACACACCAUGGGUGGCCACGAUGGUUCAAUACAACCCGUAUACAUAUACACUAGUGUAUCUUAAACCUAGUAAAAAAUAAAAAAACAACCCGAGCAAAUAGCCCAUCUCACCGAGCAGUUCUCGUUUUCUUUCUGUUAUGUAGUAUACACAUCACCGCAUCGGGUCCGGCCUUGUAGCAACAUAGCGAUCGAUCACAAGCAGUUAGCAUCUUAUCGUAUUUCUUGCCGAGACGAGAAGCUAACAUCUCAUCGUAUUUCUCGCCAUUGAUCGUUGCCGACUGCCAGCGGACGGCAAACAUACACUGUGUCACCGCGACAUUUUUCUCGGCCUUUCGUUGAAUUGAAUUAAGGUUUGCUCAUUGAUCGAAUUGAAAUUAUCGUAAAAUUGUUUCGAUGCCGGGUUUUUUCUUUUUCCAAAUUCAAUACUACUAGUAUGUUUGGGGUGAAAAUUUGUCGGUGUAAUUUAUAUUGAGAUAAAAGUUUAUACAUUGAACUACCCUGUCUCAAAUAACUAGAUCCGCCACUGUGUGUGUAUCUCUGUCGGUAUAAUUUUGUGCGAGUCCGCACAAAAUGAAGCCACGUACUAUCUCUGUCUUAGCUUGGUGCCUAACCUACAUUAACUCUUUACCACAUCUGAAAUAUGUAGCAGUAAACAUGUGUGCAGGCCUCAGAUGGUUACAGCUAAGUUAGAAAAAGUUUUAUCGACCUUUUGCUUGGUUUAAAUGGCCUCCGAGAAAAUCCAACGUCAUGAAACAUUAGAAAAGAACAACAAGUUUAUUUGUGUUCUAACAAUCAGCUCGGGAUAAACUCACUAAACCGAUUUUUACCUGAGAUUGAUUUCCAGAAGUCAUGUUGCACAGAUUCAAUAGGCAGAAGUGAAGCUUAAUUGAUUGGUCGAAAGAGCAUCCAGGUAACUCAUCUGAGAGGUUGCUACACGUUUUAUCUCACAAAAAUCUUUGGUCAAAUUUGAGUCACGGAGAGAGGAAACGAGAAAAAAUUUAUUUGAGAUGUUGGAAAAGGAGUACUAGUACAACCAAGAACCAGGGCUCGUAUACUGCCACUCUUUCAAGCAGCUUGAUCCAUAUAAAUUGUCAAAAUAUUACAAUUGUCGAAACAUUACAUCUAUCUAGAUGCUUUCUAAGGAGUUAAAUGCACUGCAGGUUCUAAAGGUAUCAGCGUGGUGUCAUUUAGGUCCUAAUAGUAUGAAAAUGCAGUUUUGGGUCCUAAAAGUACUUUAAGUGUGUCAUCGGCGGUCCUAAACACGUCGGAGCAGGUCUGACCCGCCCACUUGUCCCAUUGACCAGCGUUGACCGGUCACGUAGGAUUAAGAAAGGAUAUUAAAAUUUGCAAUUUGCCACCAGAAAUCCCCUGACCGCAAAUCGCGGCCCAUCUCUCCUCCUUCUUGGCUGCUUCGUCUCGUUGGGGCACCUCCUGCCCUCCUGGGCUGCCUAGCCGUCUCCCCCUACACGGCCAUGUCGUUGAACACCUGGUGGAGCUCGAGCAGGGUGCGCUCCAGAUCGGCCCCGGCACCGUGCCGCUCUUGGAUCUCGGCCACCCCACCCAUGACCUCCCCGCGCCUUUGUUGCUCCGCGAUGGCGCGCUGCAGGAACCGCUCCCUUUCCUCGGUCUCAGCUAGCAUGUCCAGUGUCAUUGAGAAGGACACCAUGAAGUCGCUGAUGUGGGCGCGGAGCGUUGAGAAGGACUCCAUGAAGUCGCGACACUUCUUGUGGAGCCCGGCGACGACGGAGGUGCGGGUGCGGUCGGUGGAGGUGCCUAGCCCGCAACCGGGGACGAAGUGGUUGGCAGCGUUGGCCCCCGCCGUCGGGCGCGGCGGCCGGACUCAAGGAGAGAUGGGCAACAAUUUGGGGUCGAGGGAUUUUGGGGGGCAAAUUGCAAAUUUGUGUAUCCUUUUUAAUCCUACGACAUACUUAAAAGUAAUUUUAGGAUAAAAAAACUGCAUUUCCAUACUAUUAGGACCUAGAUGACAUCACGCCAAUACUUUUAGGACCUAGAUGACAUCACGCCAAUACUUUCUAAGAUACUUCCAUAUUUGAACAAAUUUGAAAAGAUUUAUCUGAGCAUGACUCAGUUAACUGAAUUUUAUCUCAGGUUGAUCUCCAAACCUCACGUUAUACAGAUUCAACGGGUAGAAGUGAACUUCAUUUGCAUUUGGUCUUACAACAUCCAGCUAACUGAUCUGAGAGACUCCUUCAAGUUUAAUCUCACAAAAGUCACAAAACAACCGAACAUGGAGGGCUAACAUCUAAACUGGGGAUGGAAAAUCAUCAGCAGGAAAGUAGCAGAGGUGUCCAAGGUAUCCUAUUAUACACUCAAAAUAGUAAGCUAAAUUCUCAAAAAAGCAGGUGCCACAAACAGCUGACAUAAGGCGUCAAAACAAGACUGAAAUCUACGUCUCCCUCCGGGACCUCCUGCGUGGGGCGGCAGUUCCAUCCUUCUCGUCCUCUUUCUCCUCCUCCUUAUCGGCGCCGCUGCUUCCAGCUGCGUCUGUCGUAGCAGGCUGAGGCUUCUUGGAGACAGCAGCAGGCUUCACAGGGACCUGCCAGUCGACAAUACAAGCAAUAAAUCGUUUGGUCCAGGUUUCGAGUGAGGACAGUAGAACAUAUGUUGAAAUAACGGGACUAACCGCUGCUGGCUUCUUGCCGCCGAACAGGAUCUUGAAAAGCACGGUCACAAAGACGACAACAAUCGACACCAAAACUCCAAUUGUGAUGUUGGGCUGCUUCUCACCCUUCUCAAUUACAUCCUGCGAAAGAGGCAGGUUUCAAUGUCUGGACUUAAGACUUAAAUUGUUCAUUGCUUGAACAAGGAUCAAGAGGUUAAUAGAACUUACAAUGAUCUUCGACUUGUAAGGUUCCAAGAAUGGAAUGUCAGCAAUUUUGUAAAGAACAUCAAAAACCUUCUUCUGCAGCGUCACCGUGGCAAAUCAGUUAGUGAACAUGAACCAAUGCUCCACAUAAGAAAUUAACAAACGAUGACUGUAAAGGUUGGAAGAAUGUUUCACCUGUAAAUCAGAAAGAGUACUAGGACCUGCAGCAGCCUCCUCCUCAGCCUUCUCCUUUUCUUUCUCAAGGUCAUAUUUGGGCUUCCAUGUCUUCUCUAGGAUAGAGUUGGCAACCUUCUCAUCAUCAGCAAUCAAAAUGUUGUCAAAAAGAAUGCCAUCUUGCAUUGUCCAGAUCUCAAUCCCAAUAGCUCCAAUUGGAUCAAACUCAGGCUUGUCUAGUUCAAAAUAGUCAGGGUUGGGGAUCUCUUGGGGCUUCCACACUCCUUUGUAGUUGGGGUUGUCAAUCAGAGGUGCAUGCCACUUGCCCUUGUAAGCAGGAUUCUGUUUCAUAGGCUUUGUCCACUCGCCACAUCCAGGUGCCUCUUCGCACUUGGGGUUGUCAAUCUUUGGUGCCUCCCAUUCACCAUCUUCCUCAUCAUCCCAAUCUUCAGGCUUGGCAGCUUCAGGGUCAUCAAUUUCUUCAGGCUCAUCGUCCAACCAUCCUUCCGGCUUGGUGGCCUCCUCAUCAACGAUUUCCAUUGGGGCAUCCUCAUCCCAGUCCUCGGGCUUCACAGCAUCUGGAUCAGGGAUUUUAGCUCUCUCGUCCCAGUCCUCUGGCUUCUUGUCAUCAGGGUCAGGAAUGGUCUUGGGUGGGAUAAGGGCAGGCUCAAAAUCAUCAGCAGACAGGAAGUUUGCCUUCUUUUUCUCCUCCCCGUCAAUCAAAAUUCUCACCUCAUUAUCCGGCUUCAAGAUAGCCGUGUAGACAUGGGAGAGCUUGUCAUAUGGUACAGAUGGUGGGAACUUGAGAUGAUGUUCAACAUACUUGCCAGUCUUGGGAUUCUUGUGCUUCAGAAUGAAGUGCACCUUGUUGGUUGAACCACAUUUGUCAGGACCAAACAUAAUUGAGUAAGGAGUCUCAUUAUCAAACUCCUUGGCAUCCCACGUGGAAUCCUGAAGGCGAAUGUACUUAAGAUAGGAACCUCCACACUCAAGGCCAUUCUGAAGCCUCACUUCAAACUGCAGGACAACUGUCUCAUCCUUCAAAGUGACUGGGAAAUCCAGCUCCUUAAUUAUGGCAUAUUUCUUGGCCUUCUCACUAACAAGGAGACCGUAGUCCUCAUGUCCAUCACUCUUGGCAUGCUUCCAUACACCUGCAUACCAGAUGCAUCAUCAUUAAGACAAGUGCGCUAUAGAGAUGCAAUGGAAAGAACAGUUAAUAUCCACGGCAAACAGAACUGUUGAGAUGAACAACAGACAAGUGAAAUCCAACUCUAACUGAGCUUUUAUCAUUCAGAUGGAUCAUGGCUGAGCGGCCAUCAGCGCUUAAUCGUACAUACCACAAUUUUCUUUAGUAAUAGCAAAUCAAUGCACAAUCAUAGGUAUAUAAGAGGAUUGUAUAAAAUGUCAAUCCAUACAGCGGGCAAAUGUUGCUUUCUAUAAUUGAAAUAAGCACAGCAGCAAUCUGCACUACAAAUACCGCAUCAAACACCAGACAAAAUUACUGAUAGUCACUUCAAUGAUCUUAACCUCAAAAAAACACAGUCUCUUCUCUGGCUGACGCUCUGAAUUAAUAAGACGAACCUGGUAACGCCCCUGUAAUAUGCAUAGCAGAUCUGCAAUCUAUUAUCCUAACUGUAAGACGCCGGUGAUCAUUGUUCCUACUGUUUACAGAUCAAUGACUACUAUUGGUGAUGACUUGACAAGACUACGGGAUGAAUGAGCAGAGGCAGUGUUGCUGCUCCGUUUUGCGGUGUGCAAUGUUACCAUACAUGAUUCAUGGGACAUCUAUUCAGCGAAUAAUACGAAUUUGCAGAGCUGCGUGGCGAAGCCCCUAGCCGCACUAUGAUUCGCAGGAAGGCGCAUCAACUAGAAGCUCGCAAAGCUAGAAACGGAUCGGCAACAAAGGCCAUAACACCCACUAGAGAUAGUCAGCCACAGAUCUCGCAGUAAACAUUGAACCAGGCAAAACUAGCGGACUAGGGUUGAGAGUGAGAGAGGUACCCUUGUACUCGUCCUUGCCGGAGACGACCCAUCUCCCCUCGAAGCUCUCGUCGAACGGCUCGUAGAGCAACUGCACCACACAAAACCACCAUAAAUCUCACCUAAACAAAAAACCCGAAGAAAAAACCGCGAGAUAUCGCGCAGGAACGCGGAGAUUUACCGGCUCAGAGGCGCGGAUCUGGACGAGCACCGCCGAGACAACCAGUAGCAGCAGCGCGCGCCAUGCCGUCGUCAUCCUGGAUCUCCCCGCUCGAUCCGGUGGUUCCCCAGAGAAGAAGACCAGCAGCGUCCGUGCUUUGGGGGCUAUCGGGGCAGCACUAGUAGUAGCGCAAGGAGUCGGCCAAGCGGACUGGAUGGACGGCUGCGAUGCUCCGAGAGGGGUCACAGUGGACGGUGGAUAUGGGCAGAGGAAAUCCCGGCCAAUGAAAUGGUGCGGGACGUGGUGGCAGCCAAUGGGCGGAUGCCACGUGGGCGUCGUGACGCCUAGGCGCGCUGGCGUGCCACGUCGGAUGCGUGGCCUGGAAUUAUUUCGAUUAUCGACGUGGGGUGCCUCUUGUCAGUGGGAUUAGAGCACUGACACGUCCGGGUAUUCUAUCAUUUCUCUUUAUUUUCUUUUAAGUUGCCUAUUUUUUUAAACAGAAAAUGCAACCAUCCAAGUUUGUGUAUCCAUAAAAAUCUAAAUAUGUGAUGUUCUAAGGCCUGCAACUUUGAUGAUACUGCGGUAUUGCAAUUUGAUUUCAGGAUUAUACGCUGAGAUAUUUGGAGGUAAGAGAUGUUUAUUAAAGAUCUAAAAUAAUGUGACUUCAAGUAAAACAUCGUAAUUUUAUGAAGAUAGAACCAUUUUUCAAUUCUAAGUUAAAAUUGUCUAGUAUCAGUACAUUAGCUAUCUUUUACUACUAUCUCUAUCUCUAACCCAUAAUAUUUGUCGUUGAUUUAACUUUGUACUAAAUCUGCAACAAGUAAUAUGAAUCGUAGGGAGUACGUAUUGUAGGUGAUACUGCUGACCGUGUUAGAAAUAAAAAAAUACCGAGUACUAGUUGUUGAUUGAAUUCAAACGCUUAGAAGUGUGGAUAAGAUCUAAUUUGAUAUAAAUUCCUUUUUUUUGCUAGUUGGCAGAGAGCGGCGCGCUUGGUAUGAAGCUGUCGAUUCUGACCAAGCCAACUUAAUAUCUCGGACAUUCACCCUAGCUUUCAUUAAAAAUUAACUUCCUUAAAAUGCUAGUCAAAAUCCAUAGUUCUGAGGAAGGUGAGCCUUAAGUUUUUUUCUUUGGAAACUUCCAAAGUUCGAGACAACAAAGUGAAUAAGAGUGAAGUUUCAAAAUUGUGAAUGAGAUUUCAACAAUAUUGACAAAGUUUCAAUAUUUUCAAGGACAAACUUACUUUAUUUUUUUAAAAUCUUUCAAAAUUCUAGGAUGAACUUUCAAUUUGUUUUGGAUAGACUUUCAAAUUUCUGGAUGAAAGCUCCAAUUUGUUUGGACAAACUUUCAAGAGCCCAUGAGAAAACUCGCCAAAAGCCUACUUCAUUGGGAUGACAUCAUGACAACCAUCUUUCUCAAGCCGCCUCAAGCUUGGCCAGCUUAUGUUAUGACUUUUACCAAUUGGGUUAUGAGAAGAUUUCUAUCUAAUUUCUGGUGGGGAGCUGAGAAUGGUCGUCGGAAAACAGCAUGGGGAAACACGAAACUACAGCUAGCAAAGGUAAACUUGUUCUUAGUAGAAUUAGAAGUUCACGGACAAAGACUGAAACUGGCCGGUCAAUAUGAAGGAACAGAAAUGUAGUGGCAGUAAAAUUAAUCUUUCUUGAAGGCAAAAGGUAUUAUCAGAAAAUCUUACAAAUCCUUAGAGAGACUUGCCUCUUGGUCUAACUGGGCCAAGCUCCUCAUCAGCAGCCUCAGAGAACAGCCGCACAGCACUGAAAGUCAUAAACUGAACAUCGAGGCUAACAUCUACAGCUCGUAGAGCUCUAACCAUUUAAACUGUGGGUAACAAAUUAUAAGCAGGGAAGUAGCAGAGGUGUCUAUGAUCUCCUAUUAUACACUCAAAAACAUCAAGAGCCAUGUUCUCAAAAAAGCAGGUGCCAGAGAUGGCUGAGAUAAGGAGUCAAAACAAGACUGAAAACUACGUCUCCCUUCUGGACCUCCUGCGUGGCGCUGCAGGAUCCUCCUUCUCCUCCUUGUCAGCACCACUGCUUCCAGCUGCGUCUGCCGCUGCAGCCUGGGGCUUCUUGGAGACAGCAGCAGGCUUCACAGGGACCUGACAGAGUCGUCAAACAAUACAAUCAAUCAAUCAUUUGGUCCAGGUCUCAAGUGAGGAGAACACUAGAAUGUAUGUUGACAUAAAGACUAACCGGUGGCUUCUUGCCGCCGAACAGGAUCUUGAAAAGAACGGUCACAAUGACGACAACAAUGGAUACCAAAAUUCCAAUUGUGACGUUGGGCUGCGUCUCCCCCUUCUCGAUUACAUCCUGUGAAAGAAACAGAGUUCAAUGUAUGGACAAAACACUUAAAUAGUUCAUUGAUUGAAUAAGAAUAAACAGGUCCGUGAUUCUUACAAUGAUCUUGGACUUGUAAGGUUCCAAGAAUGGAAUGUCAGCAAUCUUGUACAGAACAUCAAAAAUCUUCUUCUGCAAUGUCAGCAUGGCAAAUCAGUUACUGAACAUGAGGCAAUGCUCCACAAAAGAAAUUAAUUAACAAACAAUUACUGUAAGAGAUCGGAGGAGUGUUUCACCUGUAACUCAGAAAGACUAUUAGGACCUGCAGCAGCUUCCUCAGCUUUCUCCUUUUCUUUCUCAACUUCAUAUUUGGGCUUCCAUGUCUUCUCUAGUAUAGAGUUGGCAACCUUCUCACUGUCAGCAAUCAAAAUGUUGUCAAACAGAAUGCCAUCUUGCAUUGUCCAGAUCUCAAUCCCAAUAGCACCAAUUGGAUCAAAAUCUGGCUUGUCUAGUUCAAAGAACUCAGGGUUGGGGAUUUCUUGGGGCUUCCAGACUCCUUUGUAGCUGGGAUUGUCAAUCAGAGGUGCUUGCCACUUGCCCUUGUAAGCAGGAUUCUGUUUCAUAGGCUUCUUCCACUCCCCACAUCCAGGUGCCUCUUCACACUUUGGGUUGUCCAUCCUUGGUGCCUCCCAUUCUCCAUCUUCCUCAUCAUCCCAAUCUUCAGGCUUGGCAGCUUCAGGGUCAUCAAUUUCUUCAGGCUCAUCGUCCAACCAUCCUUCCGGCUUGGUGGCCUCCUCAUCAACGAUUUCCAUUGGGGCAUCCUCAUCCCAGUCCUCGGGCUUCACAGCAUCUGGAUCAGGGAUUUUAGCUCUCUCGUCCCAGUCCUCUGGCUUCUUGUCAUCAG
rnacentral:lncRNA from 1 species